rnacentral:lncRNA from 1 species
AAAAAAAAAAAAAAAGUUGCUUGCUCUCUCACUAAAUUGUGGUUUAAUGGCUGAGAAGCCAUAAAUGAAAAAAAAUUGAUCUACCCUGCUAUAAAUAAGUCUGAGUGUCAUAAAGCACAUGAUAUUCCGAAAAUACUCUUAAUGAAAAAGGAAUAUGGCAUUGCUGAUUUUUUGUUUGUUUUUUAUAUCGAAAAUCAAAAAAAAAUUGAGAAAUGAAAAUUCUAAAAUUCUAAUACCAAAACCGAAUCUGGUUUCUCUGAAUUUCUGGGUUAACAUCUUAAACCGAAAUCCGAAAUCGAAAAUCUUUUCCCAGAAAUCGUCCAUCGAAUCUCCGAUCCGUCUUCGUUUAUUAUCGCUCGGCGCGGUGCGCCGGCCUUCUCUGAACCCAUGGUGUUCGCCAAAUCUCGUUGUAGAGCCGUCAUUUGGUAAUAAGGUAACUUCUUCUACAGUUUGGGGAUUAGGGUUUAGUAAUCGAUUUGUCAAUUCCGUUCGUUUUAGGUUGCACAUUGGAUAGUAGAGUGGCGUAUAUAUGUCGAUUUAGUCUUCUGAGUGUUAAAAUUGAACUUGUUGCCGUUGAAUCGAGCUGAAUCGUAGGUUUGUAUAGUGAAUCAGUGAGAUAUGGGACAACUGGUACAAUUAGGUUAACUGAAUGGAAAGGGACAACUGGUACAAUUGGGUUAACUGAAUGGAAAGAGACAACUGGUACAAUUGGGGUAACUGAAUGUAAUGGGAAAACCUGUACAAUUCGGGUAACUAAAUGAAAUGGGACAACUGGUACAACAGGGUUAACUGAAUAGAAUUGGACAACUGGUACAAUUAUGAUAACUGAGUUGAAUUGGGUUAACUGAAAGGAAUGGAACAACUGGGACAAUUGGGACAAUUGGGACCCGGAAUGUAUUGGGACAACUGGUACAAAUGGGAUAACUGAGUUGAAUUGGGUUAACUGAAAGGAAUGGGACAACUGGGACAAUUGGGACAUUUGGGACCCGGAAUGUAUUGGGACAACUGGUACAAUUGGGAUAACUGAUUGAGAUAAGUGGGACAACUGGUACAAUUGGUACAGUUGUGAGAAAAUAGGAAAUAUUGUUAUUCGUUAAUGACUUAGUUUUUUUUGGUUUUGUGAACAGAAGAGGAUGAGCGGCCACACAAACAUACAUUUUGAGUAUGGAGGAUGUUAUUAUAAGGAAAGAGAGGAGUUUAAAUGGAUAUCAAGAAGCUCCAUCUAUGCUAUAUCAUUUAAAACCUCUUUGGAUGAGGUAACAUAUCCGAUGGUUGUAGAUGGUAUAUGCAAGAAGAUUGGGGUAAACGAUAGUAAGAAGAAGCUCAAGUUAAGCUACAUUCCGUUGGUAGCUAAGCCACUCAAUGAGUCAUGUAUUGUUGAUGAUUGUGAUGUGUAUGUCUAUCUAACAAUUGUGGAUAAAGAGGGACUUAGAUCUGUAUUGCAUGUGGAGAUAAUGGAAGAUUUGGAAAGAGAUAAGAUUCAAGAGUAAUGGAAUAUUUUCAUUAUCUUGGAUUUCUUGCAAUAUUAUGUAUUUUGGAGUAAUUUGUAACCUAAAAAUUAGGUGCAACCUAAAAAUUUACGUCCAAACCCAGGCAAACUACGAACAACUAGGACAACUAAAGCACAUGAUAUUCCGAAAAUACUCUUAAUGAAAAAGGAAUAUGGCAUUGCUGAUUUUUUGUUUGUUUUUUUAUAUCGAAAAUCAAAAAAAAAUUGAGAAAUGAAAAUUCUAAAAUUCUAAUACCAAAACCGAAUCUGGUUUCUCUGAAUUUCUGGGUUAACAUCUUAAACCGAAAUCCGAAAUCGAAAAUCUUUUCCCAGAAAUCGUCCAUCGAAUCUCCGAUCCGUCUUCGUUUAUUAUCGCUCGGUGCGGUGCGCCGGCCUUCUCUGAACCCAUGGUGUUCGCCAAAUCUCGUUGUAGAGCCGUCAUUUGGUAAUAAGGUAACUUCUUCUACAGUUUGGGGAUUAGGGUUUAGUAAUCGAUUUGUCAAUUCCGUUCGUUUUAGGUUGCACAUUGGAUAGUAGAGUGGCGUAUAUAUGUCGAUUUAGUCUUCUGAGUGUUAAAAUUGAACUUGUUGCCGUUGAAUCGAGCUGAAUCGUAGGUUUGUAUAGGAAUCAUGAAAUAUGGGACAGACUGGUACAAUUAGGUUAACUUGAAUGAAAAGGGACAACUGGUACAAUUGGAUUAACUGAAUGAAAAAGACACUGGUACAUUUGGGGUACUGACUGUAAUGGGAAAACCUGUACAAUUCGGGUAACUAAAUGAAAUGGGACAACUGGUACAACAGGGUUAACUGAAUAGAAUUGGACAACUGGUACAAUUAGGAUAACUGAGUUGAAUUGGGUUAACUGAAAGGAAUGGGACAACUGGGACAAUUGGGACAAUUGGGACCCGGAAUGUAUUGGGACAACUGGUACAAAUGGGAUAACUGAGUUGAAUUGGGUUAACUGAAAGGAAUGGGACAACUGGGACAAUUGGGACAAUUGGGACCCGGAAUGUAUUGGGACAACUGGUACAAUACCUGCUGAUUGAGAUAAGUGGAACAACUGGUACAAUUGGUACAGUUGUGAGAAAAUAGGAAAUAUUGUUAUUCGUUAAUGACUUAGUUUUUUUUGGUUUUGUGAACAGAAGAGGAUGAGCGGCCACACAAACAUACAUUUUGAGUAUGGAGGAUGUUAUUAUAAGGAAAGAGAGGAGUUUAAAUGGAUAUCAAGAAGCUCCAUCUAUGCUAUAUCAUUUAAAACCUCUUUGGAUGAGGUAACAUAUCUGAUGGUUGUAGAUGGUAUAUGCAAGAAGAUUGGGGUAAACGAUAGUAAGAAGAAGCUCAAGUUAAGCUACAUUCCGUUGGUAGCUAAGCCACUCAAUGAGUCAUGUAUUGUUGAUGAUUGUGAUGUGUAUGUCUAUCUAACAAUUGUGGAUAAAGAGGGACUUAGAUAUGUAUUGCAUGUGGAGAUAAUGGAAGAUUUGGAAAGAGAUAAGAUUCAAGAGUAAUGGAAUAUUUUCAUUAUCUUGGAUUUCUUGCAAUAUUAUGUAUUUUGGAGUAAUUUGUAACCUAAAAAUUAGGUGCAACCUAAAAAUUUACGUCCAAACCCAGGCAAACUACGAACAACUAGGACAACUAUUUGCAACUAGGACAAAAGAAGGCACACUAGUAUAAAGUGGACAAUUGGUACAAUUGGGACAACUGUGAGAAACUAGGACAACAAGAACAACUACGACAACUAUGACAAUUUGGACAACUAGGACAACUAGGACAACUAUGAUAACCAGGACAAACUAAUUUCUUUAAAUUACUAAACAUUAAACAAAUACAGCACUAAACCCUUAAAUACUGUAUACUCAACGACUACCACUAAACACUAAAAUAAACCCAUUAUUUUCUGAAAAUAAGAUAUACCAUUUGUGUUUCUAAUGAAAUAACCCUUAUGGUAUAAGGCAUUCUUUGACAAUGGUUUCCAUCUUAUAAGAGGUUAAACGUAAAAAUAUGGGAAAUACAAAAGUAUGGGCGCGAAACCCUUGGGGCAAGUAUAAAAUGUUCAAGGGUUAAGGGGACAACUAAAAAAAGAAUGUUCUUCUUAAAGGACAACUGAAAAAACUUAAAAAUCGUCCAAAGGACAACUAUGACAAUUUUGGGACAACCGGACAACUAGGUACAACUAUGAUGUCAACAGAAAAUGCACGUGUGAGAAUAGCGGCUGAGGAUAAUAUUAUAAGUUAUUUUCCUUUGUAUUUGUCUUUUUUGGUUGUCGUUUACCGUUUUCUCUUUCAUAGAAAAGGGUCAAAGGGUUCUUCUCCUCUUAUUCUCUUUCCUAAUUGUUGCCCCCAAAUAGGUUUUUUAGGGUUUUCACCGCAUAAUGGAUAAAUAUCAGAUAGCCCUCGCGAAAUUGGCUGAAAAGAAGAAUGAUGGCUCUUCUUCUGUCUUGCCUAAGAAGGAUUACGGGAUGACCACUAGAUGGGGACCCGAAGUCAAUGGAGUCAAGACCAUUCUGCCAUGCCCUGUACAAAAGGGAAUUCCAAAGGUUUGUUAUUGCGGCUUAGCUCCAAUUGGGUGUUUAACUGACAACUCCGGGCUUGACAGGGGCCGGAAAUAUUACGGUUGCUUCUACGACUGUUGUGGCCCAAAAAAUUUCCCAGAAGUAAGUCAAUUGGGUUUUCAAUUUUGAUUUAUAAUUUGAGUCUCAUCUGAAUUUCUGAGUUUCGGGAUUUCAGGUUCCCAGUUGUGGCUUCAAGAAAUGGUGGGAUCUCGCAAUACUCGAAGAAAUUGAAAUGUUGAAUGAUACUCAAGAAGCCAUGCGGGCUUUGUUUGACACCGUUUUCUCCAAGUUAAAUCAGUUAGAGUCAAAGGUGGCAUCCAUUGAAGAAGCUAUAAAAAAGCGUUAAGGAUGAAGAAGAUGAGCUUUUCAGUUUCUUAUUGACCUUUUUUCCCCUUGUUAUGUUGCUACUCUCCUUUGAUUUAUUUUGAACUAUUUCUCCUAAAUAAAACAACGCAGUUGUACCAGUUGUCCUAAUAUAUCGCAUUAAGUUAUACGAGUUGUCCUAAAUAAAACAAGGAAGUUGUACGAGUUGUCCUAAAUAAAACAAGGAAAUUGUACCAGUUGUCCUAAACCCUAAACAGAAAACAUAAGAUUGUACCACAAAGAAAAACACAUAAUCUUAAACAUAAACAAGACAUUUUACUUCUUGGCUUCAUGUGGUUGGGCUCCUUGAACAUGUGAAAAACCCUGGCUGUACUCGGUUGGACCGAAGUAAAGCUUCUCAGGCACCAUCAGUUGACUACCAUCAUCGGCAUCCUGAGAUAAAAACAAGAAACACAAUCAUAUGAGAUUUAGUUGUCCCAGUUAUCCCAGUUGUCCCAGUUGUCCAAAUGCCAAACGUAAUUUUGUGUAAAUAGUUGUCCUAGUUGUCCCAGUUGUCCGUACCGGCUGGUUCUGCUUCCUUCAAUGGUUCUUCUUCACCCCGAAUUUCUUCGUGGGUUGUUUCUUCAUCAUUCGCCAGAGGGUUUGGUGUUAUUCCGGGUUCUUUAUCUUUCAUAUCUGCUUCUUCGCUGCGCUUGGGUACAGAUUCGUUCGAAUCAUAUACCACGCCCUUAAGUCGAAUUUUAGCUAUCUAGUUAGGCUGGAUUUAGGGUUUGUCUUGAUGAAGUUAGAAGGCUAAAUUAUGUAAUAUAUAGUAUGGGAAUUGAAGAAAGGGAAGUUGAAGAAGAAGCAGUUACAAAAUCAAGUGUCGUUUCAAGUUAAAGGGGAAAUUGCAGAAUUUUCGAAAGAAAGAAGGAAGUGGAGAUAGCCGUUCGGGGAAGAUGAAGAGAGAAAGAGGAGAUCGUAUUUGAUUUUUGGUAAGUUUAUCGAAUGUGUUUGGUUUUGGAAAUUAAAUCCAUUCGGUUCGGUUUUGUUUACCUAAUUUUCGGUUUAAUAAUUUCAAUUUUUUAUUUCUGAUUUCAAAUUGAUAAAGUCUUUUUUUUUUACAGAAAUUCUAUUUUUUUUGGUAUUCGGGUCGGACAUAAAUCAGGUGGGUUUUACUUUGAUAUUUUUGUAAUAAAAGAGACACAUAGGGAGAAGGGUAUAAUUUACCUAGUUUUUGUUAAUAAAAUUAAUUCAUAAAGAAAUUAAUUUUUAAAGAUAUGGUUUAUCAGCUAACUUUUUUGGUCUCUUAUGCCUUUUCAGCCGCGCGCUCCUAAAUUGUUUCCCGUACAUAAUAAAUCGGCCAUAUUUAAUCGACCUCCUCUCGCCGCCAAUCACCGUUAAAAACCCCUAUGGAUGUCGUAGAUGAUUGGGGACGAAAAGCCUUCGUCUCAUCUCCCGGAGAAUAUUCAGUUACUCCUUUCUUCUCGAACCCAUCAGAUUCGCAGCUACUCUUCUCUUCUCCCUCACUCUCUCCUCCGAUUCUCUCUCGCAUCCCUCACCUAUCUCACGCUCGGUUUCUCGCCGUCUCCGGCGUACCUCCGUCGGAUUCUUCUGCAAUCGAGGCCUCAUUCCGUAUCCCCCAUCCUAACGAUGAUGCCGAGAGGGUUCUCUCCUAUAAUCGCCUCCAGCUUCUACGUUGCCCCGUUAAAAAUUGCGUCUUGGUGUUUUUCCCCACAGGGUCUAACCUCGAUCAAAUUGGGUUCGUUCUGCUUUCCACCGGAGAUUCGGGUGCUAUCCGGGUCAUGGGUACGGACGAAGGUUACGUCUUUGUGGCGAAAGAGCGGUUCUUUUCGAGAAUUUUGAAGAUAUUUGUGCAGCCGAUUAGUAAUUUGGGAGCAUCUUCGAUGGAAUUUGGAUACGUAAUGGUUUAUACACUGUAUUCGAUUCAUUGGUUCUCUGUCAAGUACGAUGAAUCUCUAGGCAGACCGGUUUUGAGUUACCUCGGACAAAAGCAGUUUAAGCGUUGUUCGAUCGCGAGCGCUUCCUGGAGCCCUCAUUUUCCUGGAGAGUGUUUAGUCUUGUUAGAAAACGGGGAGGUCUUUGUGUUUGAUCUGAACCAGAGACAUCUUGGUAGAUUCAGAGGUUGCAAGAUGAAAGUUUCUUGGGAGGGUCAAGGUAAAUCAGUUAAUCGUAAUUGGCUAGGAUGUGAAUUUGGUUGGAGAUUUGGGAUUUUUAUCGUUGCUCGAUCCGAUUCAGUCUUUGUUAUCACUAGAAGCUCUGGAAAUUGUAGUGUGAGAUCUUUGUUGGAAAUUGGGAGUCUGAACAUUGCUGAAACAGAAGAGUUUGUUGCGUUUGCCAAGGCUGGUAGUGACUGUUUUCGGUUUAUUCUUGCUUCUCGAAGCUAUCUAUUUCUUUGUGAUCAGAGGUCAGAAGUGCCUUUGUUGAAAUGGCAGCAUGAUGUUGAGAAGCCUUGCUUUAUGGAUGUUUAUAGCUUGUCCGAUCUCGGGUUUGAGACCCAUGACUUAAAUACUUCCUGUGUUAUAGUAGGGUCAUUUUGGAAUGCGCAAUCUCAAAUGUUCUGUUAUGGACCUUCUCCUUCUGUUACCAAGGAUCCUUCUUCCUUGUAUGUAUGGGAGCUUCCACACAAUCUGCUCUUACCAGCCGGAAAAUGUCUCUGCGGAGAUUGUGGAAUUAAAGAAGUGAUAAUGAAGGAGUCUCUUCCCGCGUGGAUUGAUUGGCAGAAAAAGAGGGUUCUUGUUCUUGGCUUUGGCGUUUUAAACAAGCACCUUCCACUUGGGUCAUUAGAUCAAGCUUCUGGGUUUACUUUGAUUCGGUUAACAUCCUCAGGGAAGCUUGAAGCAGUCAACUUCUGUGCUUCUCUUGAUCAUUUAGAUAACUUGGAAGUAAUAGCUCAAGUAGAUUCGGCCUGCAAAUCUGAUGAGGUGAACUUAUUGUACUUCCCUGAUGAUGACAAAUACAAAUUUCCGAGACGGUUCAAAUAUCUGGAACUCGAUUAUCUCUCUGCUCACACAAAAGGGAUUCUUGCCGGGUUGUUAGACUCGAGGUUGAGUAAAAAAGCAUCAGGUUCAGAGAAGAGUGAUCCUUUUAACUUAAACUUCCACGAGGACUUAUGCGAAAAGUUGAAGAUUUGCGGAUUUGGUCUAGACAGAUGUUCCUCUUCUAUUACUGCAGUAUUCGAGAGUAUCAAUUCACAAACAAGCGUUUUCGACAUUGCAUUGAAAGAAACCUGGUCAAGGUUACCUAUGGAGCUUUUGAUGCUUGCGUUCUCAAGCUACUCUGAGGUUGAGGGUGUUCUGAUAGACAAGAAGAAACCGUCUCUCGAGUUCUUAGUUGUUCCGAAAUUCCCACAGUUACCACCUUUCUUCUUAAGGAAACCUUCUAGCCGGAGUAGCAAAUGGUCAAAGAAGGAGCAACCCGGUGUUGAGCUCAUUGGUCCUGUUCUUCCACUUCCAGUCCUCCUCACAUUACAAAAAUUCGAUAGCGGUUGUCCGGAUUCAGAAGAAGAGUACUCACCGGAUGUGGAGUUCUCUGACCGGUGCAACCAAAUCUCCAAAGCAGCCCGCGAGAUGGCAAACUCAGGUGUAGACGAGACAAUCAUUUCACUUGGCGAUGACAUGUUGGUCGACGAGUAUUCACAGAAGGAGAAGAAGCGGUUCAUUGCAUAUUCUCCGAUCACAAAGACAGCUGAUUCAGACAGGGAACAUCAGGAACUCACUACGUUUAUCUCCAAAGUGCGUCAUUGUAAAGACAAUGAUGAUCAUGGUGGUGGAGGAAGAGUAGGGCUUGAGGUGUUGGAUGAUAUGUCUCCGGUCGAGAUUUGCUUCGAAGAACGGAAUGUGAAUUUCGAUACAAAAGCUUUGUUUACGUUCAAGACGCUUCUAUCCGAAUGGCAAGAUCGAUCUUCUUCAUAUCAAAACUUCCUUUCUCAGUACCAUCUCCAAGAAUGAGUAAUAUCACCUUGUAACCUGUACACAGAAUUUUCACGGCUUCGUUAUUGUCUUCACCGACCAAUUUUGUAUGAUAUUUUUGAGGAUUAGGAAUUUAGACACCUUGUAACUCGGGUUUAGAAUGGAUCUUGACGUAUAUAUGGUUAUAUGGUUGCGAUCAUGGAGCUUGCAGGAGUUACCUAUUAAGGAAAAUUUGUGGGUGAACACUAUUUGACUGAGAAACUGAAGAAAUACAAAAAAUACAAAAAGAAAGAGAGUAAUAGAUCAAUCAAGAUUUGCAUUAGACACAACAUGCGAGUUAUCACUGAUCAGCAUCAUUAUCACUGAUACAGAUAAUAAAAUGUAUCUACAUGGAUAUUGUUGCAGAAUCUCAUGCUUUACCCAAAACAAAAAUAAAACAAUGAGUUCGUAAAAAAGGUUCCUACUUUGGGUUUAAAACAAAAAAAAGAAGUCUUAUUACUUGUUCUUCGUCUUCUUCUCUUUCGAAAGUCGUAAGAUCGAUCCUAAACCAAACGGAGAUGGACCACCGAUCACGGGAGUAAUCCGAAAGCUUCCUCCUCCUGCUUUUUCUCUGCCGCCAUUCUUUCCGGCGUGCUUUUGUGGCCUGAACUGAUACGAGCUGCAGCAGACAGAGGAAGGAGAUGAAGAAGAAGAAGACAAAUGAGAUGAGUGAUCUGCCCCUGGACGUGGAACUCCAUGUCUCUGCGAGCUAUGCUUGUUAAUGUCCCUUAGCAUUGCCCUCUUAGAAUUCAUCACUGAUCCUGUUGAAUUGCUUCUUGUCAAACGAGGAAAUGAACAGAUCAGACUCUUCUUUAUAUCGCAGUUAAGGCUCGAGCUUCUCUUGAAGCUCCAAAACGACUUUGAUGAUUUCUCUGCCUCCGAGUCCGAAUUCGCUCCGCUCCCACGACCGUUAGUUUCCUUGACGCUGCUGUAUUUUCUCGAGUUUUGGGGUAACGGCAAUGGCUGAGGAGUAAGAGAGGAGGAAGAUAAGGAAGGAGCGGAGACGAUAGGAGGGAGCUCGUACUUGUAGAGACGUUUUGGCAUGGAGGAUGCAGUAGUUACUUGGAAAGGAAGGAUCGGUAGGAUCAUCCCGUCGGCGAAGAUCUCAUCAGCUGGUGAGGAAUCUCCGGGGUCGAAGUUUCUGGAAAUGUGGAACUCGAAAUCAGGGUUUGAUGAAUCUAAAAGUGUUGUGUCUCUUCGAACAGGGCCUGAUGGUUGUUUUUCCAUAGGAGGUGCUUUAUCUGAUUGGCCGAGAUCACCCGCGAACGAGAUCCUCUGGUGAUUUGAUUCCGCACAGAUAAUCAUGAUGAUUGGUCCGUUUUGCUGGAGUUUUCAAAAACAAACGGUCAUGUUUAGUGAAACAAAUGAGAAACAGAGAAAUGCAGGGUAAAUGAAGAAAACACACCUUGUUUUGGAGGGAACAUGAAACUCUGCUCAGAGACUUUUGCGUAAAGGAAACGAUGUUUCCAUGAGAAGAUGAUGAAGGAGAAGGUUUAGGAGAUCAUAAUGUUGAGAAAUAUUUGAGAUUAAAACUCUUAAGUCUAUGGAUUAGAGGUUGAAAACAUCUAUUAAAAUAAUGAUUGUGGUGUACCACUACUGCAAGAGACAAUGAGCUUAGACAAAAAAAAAUCCAACAUAAUAUCUAAAACGAGAUUUUAAGGGUUGAAUAAGUACCUUACCUUCUACUUCUUUGUCCAAAGGUACGGUUUAUUCUCUCUUUCGUUCUCCUCUCUUCUCCUAAGCUGGAGACUGCUAACGUGAACCACCUUCAAGUCUUUCAAUAACUGCUUGAUCAUGGCGCUUUUAACUGCAAUCUGGUUUUGAUAUUCUACAGAACCGUUGGCUAACUGCAGAGAAGUUCUUGACCGUGAAGCACGAAAAUGCAAGAACAAGAAGGUUUCUGAAGAUUUUUCAGAUCAUUAUCAGUGUAUUAUCACCAUUGCAUUAUCUUACAAAAUAGUAACUAGAGUUUUUUUUUUUUUCAUACAACAGUAAACAAUGGAACAUCAAAUUUGCAGCAAUUGAGCUGUAUUUGUUACUCAGCUUACCAGAGAAAGAGAGAAAGCUGUCUGAAACCUUGGACAUGGUGAGAUGUUGUUGUGAAAAAAAGCUUGGUCUGAACCAUGCAAAGUUGUCAAAAUAUCCAACCGCAGAAACAUUGCUGCUCGGUAAGUUCUUGACACAAACACGCUCAAUGUUAGGAAGAUCAGAUUUUUUUUUUUGGCAUAAUCUUUUCCAAUUUCAGUUACUCCUGAGCUGCUAAUGCUAGGCAAGAACAAAAGUAAACAGGGACCAAAAAGUUGCAGAGAGCUGCAUUAUUUGUAACCAAAACAGCUGGAUAUUCCAUUGCCAAGGAGAUUACAAUUAGCUUUGGUAAUGAAAAAACCACAGUUUUGUCUCUUUUACAACAAAAGAAGAAUAUUAAGAAACCAAAGUAAAAUGGCUUCAUUUCACUAAAACUGGGCACAUUGCUACAUUCUUUCUUCCUUUUUACAACGGAAAGAUUCAAAAGUAGAAAACAAGAAGAGAGAAAACAAAGUCGAAUACAAUUUCUUGGACGAGAAUCACCUUUCAUGUUUCCGCAGCCUCGGGGACAUCGUAAGAGCCUGCCGUUACUUCUUCUGCUAACCACAAUCCGGGAAAAAGAGUCUGCAAAGGAAAUUCAAAAUGAAAAACUUAAGCAGCAAAACACAUCAAUAAAGAGAAAUCGAACAAAAAAAAAAAAAGAGGGAAACUUUACAUUCAUUUGCUUCUGAACCAUCCUUGGCCUCUUCUUUGGUCUUCGAGGAGGUCUUUUCCCAAUUAGGGCUGUGAAAUCCUCUUCGAUUUCUUCUCUCAACAAAGAAACAGAGAAUUUAACUUUCUCGUUCUUGUUCGAAUCUCCAUCACCACCAUCUUCGCUACCUCUCUUGACGCCAAUCUCAUGUCUCCGGAGAGAAGACUCGGCGAUCCUCGCCGGUUCAUCUCCCGGCUCGUUACAAGCAGCUCUCCUCGUCCUCAGAUUCCACGGCCGAGCUGCCGCGACGGCGACUUCAUCGCCGUUCCUUGCUUCUCCUCCUCCAUUUCCCAAAACCGAAACCUUGAGAUCGAGCCUUAGCUUGCCGUCUCCGGGAGCAAACUCACCUCCGGAGAUAACCACUCCUCCUCCAGUAACGCCGGGAGAUCUAUGAUCGGGAGAAGGAGAGGAAGAAGAAGAAGGAAAUGAAGAAGGAGAUCGAUGGUGAGGGAGCUUGACGCAGCGGAGGAAUCUCUGCUGACCCCAUCGGAGAUAAGGUAAGGUGAAGUUGUGGAGGCGUUUGGAUCUCUCCGGCGGCGGCGGAGGAAAUUCCAUUGAUUUGAUUGAAUUGAAGAAACUUUGUGCCGUGAAGAAGAUUCCUUUUUCUCGUCGUCUCCUCCUUUCUUUUACAAUUUGGUGAGUUUCCUUUGGAGCAAGUUCAAAGUUUUUUUUUUCUUGUUUUUUUUUUGUUUUCGUUGUGUAUUUAUUCUCUCGAAAUUUUUCUUUUUUAUUUAUUUUUCUGUUCGAAUUAUUCGGGGAAGAGAGAAAGAGAGAGAGAGACGCGAUUGUAACGUUGUACUUGAUCGAUUAUUUUUCCGACUCGUCUUUUUUUUUUUCAUCUGAAAGAUUAUAUAGAUAUCACAGAGUUUUCAAAAGUUUACAACAACGGAUCCUGAAAGAAACCAAAUGCUACCAAACGAGCAUGAAGGCUUAAUCCUAUAAACAACCAAAAAUUGAAUCCAAAGGACAAGCCCCUUGAUUCAAAGCAACAAGAAUCUCAGAAGAAAAAACCUUGAAGGAUGGCCAAGCUGGAGGUCGAGAAACAGCUCCUAUCAACUCUGAAGCUUCAGCCGCAAAAAUGACUGAGAUAAUUUUCAAGCUUUUCAUACUUUCAAUUGCCCAUAGCCAACUUUUCACAUGUGCUUCAACAUCGGUUGCAACAUGACUAAAAGCUCUUCUACUAUGCAACAAAACUUUACCUUCUCUAUUCCUCAGCACCCAAGACGCUCCACUCAAAUUCUUCCUUUCGUCCCACGAUGAACCAAUAUUGCAUUUAAGCCACCAUUUUGGAGGAGGUAACCAUUUAACUCUGUUCUUCUUUUCAGCUUUAGCAUUUUUAAUGUCUUCCGUAUUUCCAAAAGCUUGAGCUUGGAACCAUUGAGUAGUGUCUUCUCUGAUCUUUUCCAUUGUGUCAUUGGCUUUGUAAAUCAGACCUUCAAACAACAGCUUAUUUCUGUUUUUCCAAAGCAUCCACAAGAUCCAAGGGAAUCUUCUUCUAAUCUCAAUCGGCACUCUGUUAUUUUUCGCUGUUAUCAUCACAUCAAAGACGUUUUGAUAAACAGAUUCAGCAUUGAAACCAUUAUCAACGAUUGGGAAAUCUGACAUUGCCCAUACUUGCCUGGCCAAGGAACAUGUAAAAAGAACAUGAUUAGUCGAUUCACCUUCAAGACCACAUGUUUGACAUCUAGAAUCAACUUUCAUUCCUCUUGAUGUUAUUUUAUCAGCAACUGGGAUAGCUCCACUUAGCACUUUCCAUAGAAAAAUCUUGAUUUUUUCAGGAGCCAAACUACUCCACACAAUAUCUUUUAGCCCAAUCAGAGAAGGUUGCAUAGAAGCUUCUCUGAUAACCUCUUUUUUCUGAUCUUGGAGAGCUAGCCAAUACCCCGUUUUUACACAAUAUUCCCCACUUUUAUUAAAUUUCCAGCAGAAAAAAUCUUUGGAGGAACAAACCGGUUUCUUCCUCAUGAUGAUUUCAGUGUCUCUAGGGUAGAAUAGCUCCUCUAAUUGAUCUCUAUCCCAUUUCCUGGAUUCAAAGUCAAUCAGAUCUUCCACUUUUAAAUCCAAAUUCACAAAGAUAUUCUUCAUUAGAGGAGCUCUCAUAAUUCCAUCAUCAACCCACGGUGAUGUCCAAACACUCAAAGAUCUCCCAUUUCCCACCAUCUGCUUUAAUCCGGUUUUUAACAAGUCUCUUCCAUGGAGGAUACUUCUCCAACCAAAUGAUGGUCUAACUCCUAUUCCAGCCUGAAGAAAAUCUUGUUCAUCAUAAUAUCUGCUUUUCAAGAAUUUGGAAAAGAGGCAAUCGGGGUUCUGGAGAAGCCGCCAUGCUUGUUUGGCAAGUAAGGCUUGGUUAAAAAUUUGGAUAUCUUUAAACCCAAGACCACCUUGAUUUUUUGGCAGGCAGAUCUUGUCCCAAGCUAUCCAAUGGGUUUUCCUCACGUUCUCAAUCGAAUCCCACCAGAAAGAUGCCAAAGUACUCGUAAGAAUCUUGCAGGAUGACUUAGGCAAUUUGAAACAGGACAUAGCAAAAACAGGCAUUGCCAUGGCCACUGUUUUCAAAAGAAUCUCUUUACCUCCCUGAGAAAGAUUUUUUGCAUAGAAACCAGAAAGCCGAUCUUUCAUCUUGUCAUGAAUGUAUGCCAGCAUGUCGACUUUCGAUCCACUAAAACACUCGGGCAACCCGAGAUAUGUUCCUGCUCCACCUUCAGCAGAGAUCCCCAUCAUGUUCUUUAUCUUGACCUUUAAACUCUCAUCAAUCUGUUCACCAAAGGUUAUGGACGAUUUAUCCAGGUUAACGACUUGACCAGUUGCACAACCAUAAGAAUACAAGAUCUGUUGGAGAGUGUGGCACUGGUUUUCAUCUGCUUUACACAUAAACAAGCUGUCGUCAGCAAACAACAGAUGAUGAAUUGCAGGUCCAUGAGGAGAGAACUGAAUUCCAUUGAUCAACCCCGACUGCUCAGCUUUGUUAAGGAGAUGGGUUAACCCUUCAGUGCAUAAGACAAACAAAAAUGGUUUAAUCGCAGCAUGCUCCUUCUCAAUCUCAUUUUGAAUCUGAGAGUUUUUUUCCAAGGAGUUAGUGACAUUAUCCUUUUUCCAUUUACUCAAAGCUUUUCUACAUCUUCUGAGCUUUUCAGAGACAGUAGGAAGAAAGGAUGACAACGGAACACUCCAUGCUUGAGAAAUAGCGUCUUUGACCAAAGGCUUAUGUAACAUUCUUUUAUCAAACCUAAAAGAGCCCCUGUACGAUUCUUGAGACGUCUGAAGCUUCAUCAGAACCGGUCUAUGAUCAGACCCUCUCUUUUCCAAAAAAGCUUGAUUCGACGCAGGAAAGAUUCUCAACCAUUCCUUAUUCACAAAGCCUCUAUCCAAUUUACACUGAAUCCAGAGAUCCCAUCUUCUACCGCCCCAGGUGAAUCCAUUGCCUGUACUUGGAAGUUCAAUCAUUCCACAACCACUAAUCAUAUCAGAGAAACCUUGAAAAGAUUGAUCACUUCUUCUCGGCCCUCCUAUUUUUUCUCCAUUGUGUAGAAUUUCGUUGAAAUCACCAAUCAUACACCACGGUUCCUUUCUCUGAAUACCAAUCCUUAACAAUCUUUCCCACACCAUAUGUCGAAAACUGACAUUAGGAUUACCAUAUACACAAGAAAGCAGGAAGCUAAGAGACCCAAACUGUACAUGAAAAUCCAUUACAUUCUUAUCUACAAAUUUGAAGUCGAUUGUAAUGUCUUUCUUCCAAAACAAAGCCAGACCGCCACAUCUAUCCACAGGGUCAACAGUAUAUACACCAUCGUAACCAAGCCACACUUGCAUAUCUACCAUUACGUUUCUUUUAUUCAUCGUCUCCAUCAGGAACAAGAUCUCAGGGAAGUGUUUUUUACGCAUUUCCAUGAGUCUAGGAACUGUCAAAUCUUGAUUUCCGACUCGUCUAAAAUCAGCUUUAAUUUCGACAUAAUAAAAUACGUCCAUAUAUUAGGAGAAUUUUUUGGUUUAGAGUAGGUUUUAUUUUGGUUUGUUUUCAUUUGUUUAAGUAGGUUAAUGGCAAAGGUAAACGUAGCUUGAAAUAUUACAUUCAAACGUAAAUCAAACCAAAAUUCAGAUUCAGAUUAAUGCCUAUAAAUUAUUCAAAGUUUUUUUACCAAUUAAAGUAUUCACGAAUCAUGAUGACUAAAGAUGAAUAUGUAAAUGAAAUAACUUUAAAGAGGAUAAUUUAUUUUCUUAUAUACAAAUUAUGUACAAUUUUUUUAAAAAAAAAAUUAAAACUUAUUUACUAUUACAUGUUAGGUGUUUAAUUUUAUGAAUUUAUUCUAUUUUGAUCAUAUACGUCUCAAUUAUUCUAAUUAUAUUAAUUCACAUAAUAUAAAAUCUUAUUAUAUGAUUUUAAUCCUCUUGGAGUUUAUGCAAGAUGCAUGCAAAACACCUAAUAAAAAUUAUAUACAAAAUCUUUUUUAAAAAAUUACUAAAAUAUAUACAAAAUAAUUAUACAACAUUUGAGAGUAAUCGAGGAGGACAAAUGUAACCGUAGUAGAAAUACGUAUUUUAAUGACCUUUGUCUAGCUCAAUUACAGAGGUAAAAUCCAUAUAGAAAACCAUCACUGCUCAAGAUUUGUCAUUGCACACUUUGGUUUCGUUUAAAAAAUAGAUGUAUUUAUCUUUUAAUUUGUUAAAAUAACUAAUUUAACUUUUAAUUAUUUUCAAACUCCGAGAGGAUUAAAAUCAUAUAAUAAGAUUUUAUAUUAUGUGAUUUUUUUGUUAUGAAACUUCUUCAUUGUUGUGCGAGACAGAAAGCAAAACCAAAAAAAAAAAAGUGAAAAGAGAGUGAAAAACCUCUCAAAAUUCGUCAUUUGGUUUCGUUUUAAAAAUAGUUUGCAGUUAAUCAAUUAUCUUUUAGUUACUUCCAUGCAAAACAUAAUAAAUAUUUAUUCAAACUGAGAACUGAUUUUCUCUUCAAAUUUUUUAUUUAGCCAAGAAAAAAAAAAUAUAUCUUCAAAUGAUUAAUUUUGAAUUUUUUAUUUUCGUUACUAGUAAUUAGUAGACAAAAGUAGUACUAUUAGUAAUGAAAUUUUCAGUUUCCGGCUAAACUAAUUAGAUUAGAAGUCGCGGGAAGCGAAUCACCAGUGUAGUUCGCCGGCGAGUGAAUCUUGGCUUCUCCGCCAUGGAAACACGGCGGCAGCACUCUGAGGAUAGUCCAACUCCAACAAUUUCUCGAGGCAGCAAUACCGGAUCUUGUACCUCAACGAAUCGAAUCCAAAACCCAGACCCGAUCCCAAACGAUCUCAUCAUGGAGAUACUCUCAAGAUCGCCGGCAAAGUCUGUCGCGAGAUGCCUCUGCUUAUCAAAGUUCUGGGCUUCCACGCUUCGCAGCCGAGGUUUCACGGAUCUGUUCGUGACCAAAUCCUCGGCUCGACCUCGAAUCUUGUUCUCCUUCCGAGAAAACGGUAAGCUGGUCUUCUACUCGGCACCUCAGAUCCAAAAUCAAGACGAGAACUCGAUUCUUGUGGCCGCUAAACAUCACAUGGUGUUCCGCUUUGACUGCUCUGAGUUAUGCCGUCCCCUCCGAGGUUUGGUCUGUCUCACGUAUCUGAGGGUCGUAAGCGCGAGUACGAAGAAUACAGUGCCGGUGAUAUGGAACUUGACCACGGGACAUUCGUUAUCUUUGCCCAAAGUGAAGACGAGGAGGGUUGGUGUGAAAAGCUUCUUCGGGUUUGAUCCGAUUGGUAAACAGUUCAAGGUUUUGUGCAUGACAUCGACGGUUUAUUGGAAAGAGAGCUGUGUCGAGCACCAAAUCUUGACACUAGGGACUAAGAAGCUUUCGUGGAAGAUGAUAGAUUGUUCCAUACCCCAUUAUCCUUUAAGUGGUGGGAUAUGCAUCAAUGGUUGUGUCUAUUAUCACGCUUUAGUCCAUGAGGCUCAUGACGUGAAACGUCACCCUUUUGUCCCUCCUCCAAGCGUUCCUGGGAUUGUUUGCUUUGAUGUUAGGUCUGAGAGCUUUAGAUUCAUCAACAAAGCUGAGGACAUGCUAGUAACAGAAGUUCGGCAUCCAACUCUUGCAGAUUACAAGGGUAAAUUGAGUGUUCUUUCGUCGGAUGGGUUUGAGUAUGUUACUGGCGAAAGUUCAUGUCUUGAGUUAUGGGUUCUACAAGACGCUGAGCAACAUCAAUGGUCCAAGCAUAUAUACCUAGUGCCCACUAUGUUGAAGAAUGUGGUUGCAAGGACUGUGUUGUACUUUGUUGGAGUGACUGGUACAGAUGAAAUCGUGUUGUCGCCGCAAUACAAAUCGGACCUCGUGUUGUCGGUGCAACACAUACCGGACCAAUUCUAUGUCUUCUACUACAACAUCGAGAAGAAUACUAUCAGGAGAGUUGAAAUCCAAGGAAUGAUAAGGGAUCGUAGGAGAAUUCACAUCUCUCUAGACCAUGUUGAGAACGUGAACAUUUUGUAAAGUUCAUUGGCUAUUACUUCUCUUUAGGCUAGGCUAAUUGGACGACAAUCUCUUGUCUUUUAUUUUCUUAUGUGAUUCUUUCCUGGAUUUUGUAUCCAUCCCUUUGUAACUAGUAAAUCAAUCAGAGUUGUUUUAAGCUCAGAUUAAUUGAUCUGUGGCAUUUUUAGUUUUGAUUUCUACUAGAAGUGAAGAGAAAUAAUCAUUCUAUGGAAAACAAUUAACAACAUCAUACAGGCUGUCUUUUUCUUAUAACAAGCUCUGACAAAUUUAUAACUAUGAAAUGCACAGAUAAGAAGGAUAAAAUAAAAGGAAAUAAUCUGCUUUUUUUUUUACAGUAAAAAUUGUAACUAUUUACACUCUUCAACGAAAAAAAAAAGUUUCAGCUUAUGCAAAAAGGAAAAAAAAUAAAAAUAAAUAGUGGAUAUGUGGAGAAAGGGGGAAUGUAGAUGUUCCAGAAACAAACGAGUUUUGGCUUUGCCCAAAGCCAAAAUGUAUGGGUAACCUAUAAAUACGACUCUUCAAAAUCUUAACAUCUCAGAGACUAUACAAAUAAAAAUUCUAUCAACGGGCAUUUUUUGUUAUAAAACUUGUUCACAUUGUUGUGCGAGACAGAAAGUAAAACCAACAAAAAGAAAAAAAAAAAAAAGUGAAACGAGAGUGAAAAACCUCUCGCAUUGUUUUCAAGAUGAGGUUGAGCAGUCUGGGGCGGUUGUUUCGGACUUGAUCACACGGGUAUUGUAAGAACCGCAUGUACCGCACUUAUGGUACAACCAGUGGAACCGUGUAGUUCCUUUGCGUUCACAGUCAUUGCACAGAAUGUCCUGAAACAUUUGUAUAUGUGUCAUCCAGUGAACUGAAAGAGUCAAAGAAACAGUCGAGAAACAGCAGUUUAGUGUUUCUCACCUGACAGCGAUCUUUGUAUUCUUCUGGAAGCUCUUCUGCAGCUAACAGUGCGUCAAGCAUACCAAAAUAAACCUGUGUAGUUUCAGAAAGAAACGAAGAUGAAAUAGUUAAGUGAAUGAUAUUUGUGAUGGUGUGAUUUGUAGAUUGUGCUCUGAGAAACGGGGAUUAUCUUACCGCCAUAUCUCCUAGUGAUUUUCCACAGAUUGGACAUGUGUAGUGGCUGCAUGUGUAAGCCUGAAAGAGACCGGAGAAACAGCAAUUGUUUUGAUUUAAGGCGAUAAAAAUAUAAAUUUAAGUUUAAUGACAAAAAGAGAGAUUUGCAAACCUGAAAGCAAGCUGAGUGCAUGUAGUGGCCACAUGGUAAGGCUCUCACUUGUUCACUCGAUGUGAAUAGAAAUUCGCAGCAGAUGGGGCAAUUUGUCUCGAGGCUUUUCUCGAGGCACUUGUGGUUUACUAACUUUAUCCCCAGGCAACAGUUACAUGUCAUGCAAUGGAAAUAAUCGAUUCCCAGUCCCUCCCCGACCCGGCAAAGGUUGCAGAAGGGACAGUGGUAAACAGCCCUGAAGGAGAAUAAUAACAGUUUCUGAAGGUUAGAAUAGUUUUCAAGUUUGAUUUUUGACAAACCCAAAUGGCGUAAUUAAUUAUUAUAUGCAUCAAACUGUUGGGUUUUGCUUACCGUUCAUCAUCGAAAAGUUUGCAAAUACUGCAAUAGUGCUUUGCCAUUGGGAACCCGUCGCAUGAAGGCGUUGUGCAAAUGGGGCCAACAGGUUGCACCUUGAGACACCUCAUGCAGAGCAUUUCUGUCACCAAUUUUCUGUAGUGUGUUCCAAAUAUAAAGUCAUAUCAUUGAGAAAGAAAAACAAAAGAGGAGAUUCAAUAGAGGUAGGGAGCAUUGGCAUAAGAUCUUACCUAUCCAUGGAGUGGUCGCUUACUUUGUCAUGGCAAAAUCUACAAGUGAACAACUGACCACAACAUGCAGCCCGAAGCUUGCAGUUACGCUUGUAAUGCUCGCAUCCAUAUAUUUGCUUCUCGGGAUCUCGAAAAGAUGGGGAACAUCCCAAUGCGACUUCACCAUUUAAAGCAGUUUCUGUUUCCUUAGGUAACUUUUGCUGAGCCGCUAUCCAUCGACUGAUAAAAUCACCAACAACCGAAGUUUAAAAUAAGAUGUUAUUCCAGAAUAAACAAUAAUCCGGGUAUGAGGGAAAUGUGAAUGAGAUUAUAGGUUCGCUAUUGUUCAGAAGAUUGUUCAAUCAAGGACACACACACAUCAAUAUAUACAAGAGCAUUCUCGUAUACUCUUCCACUAUGUAAGUUUUAUUUUCAAAUAAUACAUGGGAUAUAUUACUGAUUUAGGUUCUAAGUUUAAGUCAGGUAUGCACGAAAAUGUGGAAUGAAGUAUACGUGCAGGGAAAUAUUAAAAGAUAUCUGACCUGGUCCUCCAAUUUUGUACUAGAUAAUCUUUUCUUCUUGGAUCAAGUGUUGUGUCCUGAUAGACCUUCCUGAUCUCAGCCUCUAGUUCGUUCUGAUUCAUGCGGAAAAUAUCUUUCCACCCCGGCUUAAAUAGUUGACCAGUUUGGUCUAAGAUUUCUUGAUGAUCAUUAUCUAUACGGAAAAUAAGCUUGACGUAAGCAAAAUAAACUUAGCAGAGAGAAACUACAGCAGCCGGCCAAAGUAUGAGUUAUGAAGUCCAAAGCUAAAACAUUUAAGGUCUACAUAAAAUACCAGCUAGAUAUUAAGUUGGUGAAAAAUAGUUAGGCAAUUGCUGUUACCUCUCUGUAGGAUAGGUUUGGAUGUUUCUAUUGAGGAUGAGUCGGGUGAUCCUUUCCAGCAUUCAUUGAGCCAUUCAUCAAACAUUGUGUUCUUGGUUGCCUGCUUCCAGGUAUCCAUCAUUCUAUUUUGCUCAUCUUCAGAAAGGGCGGACGUCACCCAUGGUAACAUAGAUUGAAGAACUUCCGCACCCGUUGUCCCGAUUAUACGACCCACAAUCUUGUCUUGCUCUUGAAUGGAGAAGUGUUUAUCAAAUAGAGGCCAGAGUUCCAGUUCCUCCAAGAAAAUAUGCUGAUCCAACGUGAUUUUAAUGGAUUUGCACAUCCCUUGUAGCUUCGUAGCCAGCUCGUUGUACUUCUUCUUGCAGUCACCGUCAUCAAUAUCAGCCUGAACAGUGUCAAUUUGAGCUACGUCCCCCAUUAAAGAAUCAGUCUGUAACUUCUCAUGAAGAACUGAAAGUUCAGUAAGAACACUAUAAAUAUCUCCAAACAACUUCUCCUCCUGUUUAUGGUCGAGCGUGUAAGAGUGACUGACAUUGUGAAGUGUCUCCUUCGAUUCCAACGCUGGAAAUAGGAUAUCAUCUUCAGCAUUACUAUGAGCCUUGUAGAAACCCCAGAGUAGGUGAAACCGACCAAUGAAUUGACGAAUAAACGUUUCAUCGCAAUCAAUGAGUUUCCCAGAUUCAACAUCCAGAAACUCCAGAUCUUUGCUUAUGGCCUUGUGAAAUUUGAAUAUUGUAGCAACCGGCCGCUCGGCAUGUCCAGUACCAAAGCUGUUGCUAUCCAUUUCCCAAACAAAGAGGCUGGAAUUGAGAGCGGGCGCAGCAGAGUUUAGCGCAGAGGAUCUCAUAGCUUUAGCUGCUGGAAGAGAACCAAGUCCCAGACAAUCACUGUUAACUCCGAGAUCCGGAACACAGCAUGACCUACCAUUUCCAGAAGGCUUGCACCCAUUUGCGACUUCAGACGAGUGAGGGGUGGCAUUCUUUUCACAAGCCAAUACAACAGUUCGCUUAGCUGGCCUUUUAUCCUGAUGCUGGCAACACGAUUCUAUACUCCUACUACAGCAUGGCACAGACGCACAAGCAUUACAUGACUGAAGGUCGACUUCUUCAAUGUUCUUUAGUGUUUUAGCAGGGCAUAAACCAUUCCCAUUUGGUGACAAGCAUUCCCCAGCUUUGCGUCCUUUGCAUGCCCAACCAGAGAAAAGAGUAACGAGAGCGGCAUCCGAUUUAGGUGCUGAGGCCACAAGGAAACCAUGUAACCGUGUAAGAUUGUGAGUAGCUAAUAAUUUUUUGACAAAAAUGUUAAGUUUCGUCAAAAAUUAAAACAGUAGAUUGUACCUCCAGCUUGCAAGUUCUUCAGAAAAUUCUUAGCUUCGUCUUCUGUUAAAGAUGCCGCCAACCACGGCAAAACACGUUCAAUCAAUCUCAAGGGCAUUAUACACAGGCUUUGGUAGAGAAGUUCUUGUUGUCUUUUAAAGCUGAAGUUCUUUCGUGCAAGGGGUAGCACCUGAAAACAUUAUAAACUUAGUCAACUAAAAUUAUGCCGAACUUUCAUAGUUUCACCUGUUUACAAAAUCAUAUGUCACAGCACAGCACUUAAAGCAAAAGUUCACCUGAAUUUCCUCGUUGUGGAAGUGCCUUUGAAUAGUUUCCAUUAUUUGAUCAGCAUGUGAGCAGAGCUUGGUGUAAAAUUCGGCAGCGGAAGUAGAAGAGGCUCCAGCACUCUUGAUAUUUUCUAUCAAGCAACGAAACUCGUUAAACUGAUUUUCUUCCUCGUCGUGCUCCUCGGAAAAUGAAAACUCCCCAUCUACUGCUGGGAAUAUGAUCUUGUCCUCUGCAAGACUGCAACAACAAAAGAAUAUAUCAUCUCAGAAAUAGACUCAUGCCACUCCAAUCUCUUUCAGAAGAUAGAAAAUUCUAAAUAGUAUGUUAUAUAAAAAUUUGAGAGAACUCCAUUUAUAAUGAUAAAAAUUUCAUGCAGAAACGUGCUUAAGCAUGAGAAGCGCAAAGCUGGAAAAGAUCCACAUGCAAAAAUGAAAAUUUUCCGUUUGCACCAUAUAUAAAAGGAUGCAACAAAUACCUGUGGAAGAUGCAUACUUCAGCAAUAUAUUGCAAGCGUUCAUCAAAUGCAGAUAAAUCCGAAAAAUCUCCAGAUAGCUGAAUCUUCCUAGCCUCAUCGGCUAUUUCUUUCAUCUCCUUGUUGAUAGACUUGUGCCAAAGCUUUAUCUCAUCAAUUGGGUGCAUCUGAGCAUAAAAAGAAUCAUACUUGGUAAGCUCUGGGUACUUUCUCUUCCCGGUCUUGGAUCCCUCACAUGCACACUGUGCUCUACUAGUUUUGCAAGGAAGCAUGCUGCUAGAAUCAAGACAGCACUGGAACUGAGAAUCUUCUAUGCGACAGGAAGCCGCAGCAUCUCUUUUCCCUCCCAACCAGGUGAAAAUAACCUUCAAGAAGGAAAAAUAUUCACACGACAAGCCAAAAGUCUUUCAACUGCUAAAGCUGGAUCGUAAUUCUAAAAUUUACCUGCUGAAGGAGCUUCUCGCCUGGAACUAUUUUGCUUAAGCACGUCUGCAUCUCCUUACUUUCAUCUAUAGAGAUGGAGGAAGAAAGCCAUGGAAGAAAAACGGCAAGCAUAUUCACAGGAAUGCUGCAGAGAAAUCGCCAGACUAUGUAAGCUUGCUCCUCAUGCUUAAAUUUCUCAAUAAGUAAGGGAAACACCUGUCAGCAAGCGAAGAAGAACACUAGUUUCAAUAAAGACCAAUACGUAAUCCUAAAUGUUGGCUCUGUAGUUAAUAGAAAUCAACAGAGAAACUACGUCUUUGCUGUGAAAGGAAAACAAAAACAUCAAAGAAAACAAGACCUGUUUCUGUUCUUUUGCCAAGUGCUGGCUAACAGAUGUCUGAAGUGCUCCGGUACAGCUCGCCAACUCCCUUCGGUAACUUUCAUCGAUUUCCGUGGCAGAAUUUAGCAGCUCAAACAGAUGAUCGAAAAGGGUGCUUUCACCCUUGUGUUCAAGAGAAUAUGUCUGGGCCACGUUCUUCACGCGUAUGUCAAGAGCUGAAAAUAUGACCUACAUCCACAGGCUUGCAACCGUCAACAGUUUCUCCUCAUAAUAAAACAAUACACAUAUGUUUCAAUAACUUCCAGAUCUCCAAAGCAACUCAGAAAAUCAAGAAAAUGAUAAGAAAUAAACGAACAACAAUAAUCAAGACUUGCAAGUGUCGGGUACUAAAAGAUAAAUAAGAUCAAAUCAGAUUUGGACAAAUUUGCAUUACAGUAGUGUCAAAGCAUAAGCAAAAGAAAACUUAACAUUGUUGGCAACCAAUACUAUAUUCGGUCAAAAAUCCCCCAAUGAGUCCUUUCAUUGGUAAAAUGUCAAAUAAGCAGAAGACGCUUUCAAAUUGUGAAUUCGAAGUUUCCAGAGAAUGAAAAAGAAAAUUAAAAUAGAAGGGAGCUAGCUUUUGGCAUUACCUCGUCCUCGGCAUUGCAAUGAUGCUUAUAGAUCGAUCUCAGGAACCGGUACCGUUCACGAAGCAGCCGGAGAUCAACAUGGUGGCCAGUAGCAAACUCCAGGGCCAAUCUAUGAAGAGCUUCAAGCUCACUGCAAACUGCCUUAUGAAAGAAGAGGAAAAUUAGGAUCGGCGAAAUCUCCUCCGCGUCAUCCGAGAACGAAUUCGCCACGGGCGGGCGAGAAGAGGAAGAAGGCACGGAGCUCGCAAGGACCGUGGUUGAUGAAGAUGAAACUCCUCCGCCGCCUCUCGCCGCCUCAAAAUCAGGCAACGGCGUCGCCAUUUUCCGUCGAGCUUCUCUCUUCGUGUCCGUCAACAAUCCAGAAAGAAAUCUCCACGACCCACUCUCCUUCCUUCAGCCUUCGUAUACGACCGACAAUUUUCAAAUCUGAGCUCGCUUCACCAUAGAAUUAUCUGGGUUUUUUUUGUUUUUCUGUGUGUGUGGUGUUGUUCAACGGAGACGAUGAGAACGAAAAAAAAAAAGAAAGAAAGGUCUGAUAUCGAUAUCAAUUUUGAUUUUGCUUUUGCUUUCUUUUGGUUUUUUUUUUUUUUUGCCUUUUUUCAAUUUAUUAUGGUUAAUCCUCAAAAAUACUUUUAACUCUGGCGUUUAUAUAUAUUUAUACGACCAUCGGCAUUUUAAUACAAGAAUACAAAUUAAAUAAUGUAUAAAGUGCUUGGGGAUUGGGUGGGUGUUUCUCUAUACAGAGGUUUUGUAGCACGUGGCCAUUACCAUCGCCACGUCGGAUGCUGAUGCAACCAACCCAGGUUGGCACGUGACCGAUCGCAUGUCGACACGUGCGAGCGUACCUACGAACGCAAAUGUUCCGCGAGACAGGGGACGCUCCGCUGGUUCUCGGAGAAAAGGACUUUAUUUCACGAGGGGUAAAAGAGUCAUUUUCAGAUGUUUGACGUGGCAUUUCAUGGUGCUUAUAUGGAAUUCUUUUUUAAUAAUGUCGACCUCUUUUGAUUAUAGAUUAAUCAUAUAAAUUGAUAAUGUUUGAGGUUAGCUUUUAAGGGAGCACUUCAAAAGAAAAGAUGAAUUUGGCUUUGAUGUUUUGUAAAAUAUAAUUAAGACAGAUUCGUAUUUUGUUCGUAAGUUUUCUAAAAUAUUCAAGAAUGAUGGAGAUGAGAUGCAGCACCCAUUCGUAAUCUAAAGGAGCCACAUAGCUUUGAUUAAACUAUUGCUUACCGGUUUUGCUUUGAUUAAUAAAUGCAGUUACAAAGGUUUGAACAUUUUUUAUUGCGUUGCAUGUGCUCGAAGGUUUUACUAGAUUGAGUUGAUAAUUAAAUUUUGUGCCAUAAUUGAAUAGGAGUAGUUAUACUAUUGCAAAUAGUAGUAAAAGAAAUGAUCGAAAAAUUAUUAUGUUCAUUAGUCAUAUGUAAUAAGAAGACAAUGCUUUCCAGGCUCAUGAGAUAAAUCAAACAAUAAUGACGAUCAUAUUUCACAAGUUAUUGGUAAAGAGAAAAAAAUUUCAUCCAAAUUAAAAGUUUGAACUUGAAUAUGCAAAACAUUUGGGAGGAACUUAGGUAGUAUAUCAAAACGUUCACCUAUAUUAAAUUUUAAUAAUAGAUCAGUUCCUUCAUUAUUCAGUUUGUUCAUAAAAAGUAUAUAACAUGAAAUAGUGAAGUUAAAAAACUUAUUAUAAUUUAAUUAUUAGAUGAGAUGCAGCACUCAUUUGUUCAGUAUAAUGUAUUGAUAAACCAAGUAAAAAAUGGUAAUUUGGUGAAAAGGAAGUGGUGAAAAGUAAAGACACAAGAGGGACGUGUGGGAAGUGUGGCGACAAUUGGGUAGCAACAAGUUCCACUCGCGCUCUCUUCUCCACAACACAUUCCUUUUUUUUUGUUUUCAACAAAAUAAGAAAAAACUACAUUUAUUAUUUAGGGGACCAAUUUCAAUAAUAAUAUUCAUUAUUCUUUUCCCCGAUUUCACAACAACCUCAUUAUUUUAUAUCUAUAACAAAUUAAGAAUUCACCGUUCUUGAAUCUUGACUAUAAGAACAAAAACGAGACUAGUCAACGUAUGUAAGCAUUUCAACGUUAUUACACGUAAUUUUGUACGUACGACAACCUUUACCCACAUAGAGCAAGUGAUAAGCAAUUAUAUUAGUAGAUACUUUGUAUCAUCUAAAGUUUUCUUUGAAUCCUUUAAGCUCAUAAUCAUAAAUGCAUCUACCAGACUUUUCGUUGUUGUUUUGAAUUUAAUCGAUCAUACUUUUUACCAUCUUAUAAUCACCUAUAGUUUCUUUAAAUCCUAUAGGACCAUCGUCACAGAUGGUAUGAUCUGUAUUUACUCGCCCAUCAAUGAGGCAUCUACCAGAGCACAACUUAAAACUUGUGAUCAUAGGGCUAAAUGAUUAGACCGAGUAUAUUAUUUAAGAGUAUAUACGAACCAAAUUAUAAAAUUUUAUUGAUUAUUUUAAUAACAUUUAGGUGGUUUUUGUUCCGAAUUAUGUGGAAUUCUAAGUAUCGUGCAAGUGUACAAUGCGAUGGGUUGGCUUUUAUGAUCCAUCAUCCAUCACUCAUUAUUUUCCUUUUCAUUUAUCUUUUUUCCUCAAAUUAUCUUUUUCAUCAAAGGAUAAUGUAUAUCGUUUACGUCCUUUUCUUUUGACAUACAUCCCCAUACCCGUCGCUUAUGAACAUUCUAUAUUUGACUUUACGUUUUUAUUUUCAUAUGAAACAAUCUCAAAAAUCUCAGUUAAAAAAAAUAUAUGGAUGUAGUAGGAGUCCAAUUUACCAUACAUCACGGAAAUUGUGAUAAUAUCAAAUAUGUAAAGAAUACCAACACUAUCAUUGUUGUGUGUGUCUUGUUCCCAGUCAGAACUACAAAGUCGAGUCCUAUAUACACGCACAUAAUCCUCCUUCCAAAAAUGUAAUUGGGCAAAUGGUUUUCAAUACUCAGAUUGCACUAACAAAGACAAGACAUUUCAUCUAAUGUGGAAAUCAACGCAUCACGCAUGACGCAUUUCCACUUUACAAGUAACGCACAAUCCACAUUAAAUAUAAAAAACAAUCAUUGCAGAUGUGGUUUAUCUAAAAAAAAAUUAACAUGUCCGGUCCAGUGUCGCGAAGUCCUACGCAAGAUAAGAAAAUUAGUUUCAAAAAUUUGAGGUUCGAAUCGAUGACUUCACUUAUACUCUGGACACUGAAUCUGUUUUUAGCGUACAAAACCAAUAAGUAACCCAAUUAUUUUCUAGUUAUUAAACCAAAGUUAAGAUCUAUAUGUUUUUUUGUGUUAAUAAUAUAUGUUGUCGAAAAACAUUUUAUAACCAUCGUAGAUAUGUCUUUUAUAUAUAUCAUCAUAUAAUGUAAUAUUCCUAUUACGUACGUCUAUCUAUGAUGAUUGUUUUUAUGUUUAUUGAUCCCGAACUAAAUCUUUUUUUUUUUGGAAUGGUUUUGGGCGUACUCGGUACGUAUGAUGUAUACACUAUGAGAAACCAUAAACUUACCAGCAUAAACAAGCUUUUCAUUUCAAAAUUGUCUCGUUGCACCAGCAAUAUGAGAAUUGGUAUUCUUCUUUCUUAAAUACUUUUUUUAUUAUUAUUUUAUAUGUCUUCAGAUUAUAAAUUUUUUUUAGUGUUUUACUUGUAUAAUUAGACACUCAAGAUUUGUGUGAAAGACUCUAAGAUAAUCGUGAAACUAUGGUAAAAAGAGAUGGGCAACAACUUCUGCACCAUUGCAUCAUUUCUCAUCUAAUAACUUUGUUGUUAUAUAAUUAAACCCCAAAUUUUAAUUCUAAGAAAAUAAAGACAUCAAAGUAAACUAACACACAAUUUAUACUAGUUCAAUACGAAAGUUAUAUAUCAACCCCUUCACUCGGAUUAAUUCGAAAGUUUACAAAUUAGCAUGAAUUAAAACAUGUCAUAAAUUUUCUCAUCUUUAAUGAUAUAUUAGGCUGCAUAAUUUAACAGAUAUGAUGCAAAGCAUAUUGUAAUGUAUGUACAAACAAAACUAUACUUUAAUUUUGCAUAUGUAACUCAGAAAAUAAAUAGUUUAAAUAGUUAAUAGAGAGUUAACAAAUGGUCAAGUUGACCAUCUUACUAUAAAUUUAUAAGAUUACCAACGUCCAUGUCUAGUUCCAGUGAACCAAUGUAUUCUUCUUGUUUUGGAAAAAAAAAAAACAGAAAACGUUGAAAGGAAAAUCAGAGUCGAUACUCCAUAUCUCAGUAUAUUGGAAUAAUUAUGCGAAACUACUACUUUACAUUAGAAACGACGUUCCAUGCCGUAUUUUCAAGUUGGAAUCUCCAUGUUCUUACUAUUAUAUUUAUUAUGUCAACUAUUUAUUUAAUAUGUUCGAACUUUAGAAUGUUAGAAGCGUAAACAAUUUGCUCUCUUUUUAGGGGAAAAUAAACAAAAAAUCUUUUCAAACCGCACUUCAACUUCAACUUUAUUUUCUAGCCUUGUGAAAACGACAAAACCUUAAUAGGUCCAUGAAAGCGAGAGCCUCCAUCAAUUCUCAUUUACGUUAAUGCAUGAUAAUUGUUAUUGCAUUUUCUGUUUUUAGAUAAGCUUAAAUUUAUUUUGGUUUUAUAAAGACAUAUCGUUUACGAGAAAAAGACAUGAUUUUUGAGUCUACAAUUAAGAAUACACCUUAAGUAAAAGAGAAAAUUAGGAAAAACUUCAUUAAAAAAAAAAAUUAGGAAAAACUAUGGUUAAAAGAUAGAAAGGUCGGUAGUUAGGAGGAAAUAUUCGGAGGUUGGGAAAAAAAAAAUGGAGGAAAUAUUCUGAGGUUUGGGUUUUCGGAUAAUGUAGAGCCAGCAUGCUAUUCUUUUAAAGGUGUGAUAGUUAGGUCGAACACUAUAAUAUGUUUUAAACUUUGAUUUAUGAACGUUAACAAUAGAAAACGAAGUUGAUGUUGAAGUUUACUGCCAAAGGUCAAAAGUAUAAAAUUAAAUACCUGAGUAUAACAAGGAUAGUCAGAAUCGUGUCUCCUUUAUGUUUGAUGAGGUAUUGGUUUCGGACCUUACGUUAAAAUACAUUUUAAAGGUUUCAAGUUUUGAAAUUUCUUUUUUGACUAGUUUGUUAAUAUAGGACCCUUUUUUUUGGUCAAUGAAAUAUAAUAAGGACAGCUUUUUAUACGGCUAUGAACAGUGUACGUACUAGAUAAUCUUUUACAUCUUGAAACUUUUUAUUUAAUAUAUAAGUGUAAAAUAUUUUAGACGGUAGACAACCCAUCAAUGGAUACCAUUUUUUUUUGUAAUAUAAUUACAACACUUUUUUCAGUUGUCUGAAAAUGUUAAUUGGACUUGUUGUUUCUUUAGGCCCAUUUAUUUCCCGUUAAUAAACAGGCCGCUAUUUCCAAAAGCCCAUAGAAAAUAAAUCUCCUUUCUCCUUCCUCCUCCUCUGUCCCGUUCGACUUUCAGGAUUCAGUAUUGUGAAAAUCGCGAUCAUCCGCAUGGAAAACCCUCAAUUCUGAUCUCCGAUUUCGCUCUGCCAGACUAUUUCGACCACGCCUCGUUUCAGCUUCCGAUCAUAACUUCAACUCUAGCAGUAUCCGAUUCGCUCUCAUUUUCCUCAAUGUCGUCGACUUCAAAUUCGCUCAUGGACAGCUUGUUCCAGCGCAGCCUCGAGGAUCUGAUCAAAGGUCUACGUCUCCAGAUACUCGGAGAAUCCACUUUCAUUUCUAAGUCCCUAGACGAAAUCCGCCGCGAGAUUAAACAGACGGAUCUCUCCACCAAAUCCAUCGCCCUCCAGAAACUGUCAUACCUCGCCGCACUCCACGGCGUCGAUAUGUCCUGGGCGGCUUUCCACGCCGUGGAAGUCGUUUCCUCAUCUCGAUUCGCGCAUAAGAGGAUCGGUUACCACGCCAUUGCUCAGUCGUUCAACGAUCAGACGCCGGUUCUGCUUCUGAUCACGAACCAGCUCCGAAAGGAUUUGAACAGUUCCAACGAGUACGAGGUGAGUCUCGCUCUUGAAUGUUUGUCUAGGAUUGGAACUGAUGAUCUAGCUAGGGAUUUAACCCCCGAGGUUUUUACGCUCUUGGGUAGUGGCAAGGCUUUCGUUAGGAAAAAAGCUAUCGGUGUGGUUCUGAGAGUUUUCGAUAAGUACCCUGAUGCUGUUAAGGUAUGUUUCAAGCGUCUUGUCGAGAAUCUCGAGAGCUCUGAUCCGCAGCUUCUCUCAGCUGUAGUCGGAGUCUUCUGUGAACUCACCACAAAAGAUCCACGAUCUUAUCUUCCCUUAGCUCCCGAGUUUUACAAGAUUCUGGUAGAUUCGAGGAACAAUUGGGUUUUGAUCAAGGUUCUUAAGAUAUUUUCUAAGUUGGCUUCGAUUGAGCCUAGGUUGGCUAAGAAGGUGGCUGAUCCGAUCUGUGAACAUAUGAGGAGGACUGUGGGAAAGUCUUUGGUGUUUGAGUGUGUUAGAACCGUAGUUAGUAGCUUGAGCGAUCAGGAAACAGCUUUGAAACUUGCGGUGGCAAAGAUUAGGGAGUUUCUUGUGGAAGAUGACCCGAAUCUCAAGUAUCUUGGUCUUCAUGCCUUGUCGAUUGUUGCUCCAAAGCAUUUGUGGGCAGUUUUGGAGAACAAAGAAGCUGUUGUCAAGGCUCUGAGCGAUGAGGAUCCAAAUGUUAAACUCGAGGCUUUGCAUCUUCUAAUGGCAAUGGUGAAUGAAGAUAAUGUGUCUGAGAUCUCCCGGAUUCUUAUGAAUUAUGCGCUCAAGUCUGACCCUUUGUUCUGCAACGAGAUUAUUGGUUCCAUUCUACUGGCAUGCUCCAGGAACUCAUAUGAGAUCAUAGUAGAUUUUGAUUGGUACUUGUCUCUUCUUGGUGAAAUGGCCAGAAUCCCACAUUGUCAAAAAGGGAAAGAGAUUGAGCAUCAGUUGAUUGAUAUUGGUACGAGGGUCAAAGAUGCUAGACUGGAGCUAGUUCGUGUUUCUCGAGCUCUGCUUAUUGAUCCUGCAUUGCUUGGUAAUCAGUUCUUGCACCCGAUAUUGUCCGCAGCUGCUUGGGCUUUAGGAGAAUAUGUCGAGUUCUCUAAGACCCCUUAUGAGAUUGCAGAGGCGCUUCUACAACCACGUACUUGUCUCUUACCACCUUCCAUUAGAGCAAUCUACAUACAUUCCGCUUUCAAAGUUCUUGUCUUCAGUCUCGGGGCAUACUUCUCAGCCAAAGAGCCCACUUCCUCGCCCUUGGUUCCUGAGUCUACUACCUCUGGCUUUUCAUCGGUGAAUGGUUUCACAUACAAAUCUAUCUCGAGUCUGUUGAAUAUGAUUGAGCUGGGAUUGUGCUCAUUAUCCGGAACCCUUGACGUGGAAGUGCAGGAGAGAGCUAAGAACGUUCUAGGAUUCAUUGGUAUGAUAAAGCAUGAAAUAGCUGAGAAAGUAACCUCCCAAGACAGUGAAACAGAAGCUUCUAGAGCCAUAGCAUUCAUGGAAGAUAUUUUCUCAGAAGAGCUUGGUCCUGUUUCUUCAACUGCACAGGAAAAAAUUCCUUUACCAGAGGGGUUAGAGCUCAAAGAGAAUCUUGAAGAUCUGCAAGAGAUUUGCAGAGAAGUUCUGGAACCAAUUGACGACUCAAAGUCAACUUCUUUCUCUCCCUCAGACAAAAUUAGCUUCUCUAUUGCUAAACUCAGAAUCAGAGAUCAACAAGAAGCCUCAUCUUCUUCAUCUCCUGAGCCUAAAUCUGCAUACUUACUCGCAGAACACAGAAAACGCCAUGGCCUGUACUAUCUCUCCUCCCAGAAGAGCGACGACCACAAUGAUAGCAAUGGCAACAACAACAACAACAACACGCUAAACGAAUACCCACCAGCGAAUGAGAUAUCGGUGGACUCAUUUAACCCCAAGAAGAAGAUGAACCAAUCAAAACCGAGACCUGUAGUGGUGAAACUGGACGAGGGAGAUGAAUCAAAGACGAAGCCAGACGCUAGUAGUAACGAUGAACCUUUGUCACGUGCGAUCCAGACCGCUCUAAUGGGGAAAGGAAAAGAGAAGGAAAGAGAAAAAGAUAACCACGAGAGAGAUCUUGAUUCAGGGGUCAAUGAACAGAGCUUGAGAAGAGAUAAAAAGAAGAAGAAAAACGGGGAGAAACGUAGUAAACAUAGAUCAAGACGACGAAGAGAUGAAGAAGUAAGUGCAACGAAACCAGUCGAAAUACCAGAUUUUCUCUUAUGAAUACUAAGUUUGGAGUUUGCGUUUCUGGCCAAAUUAACUGGAUGGUGUGUUUCUUGUUCAGUGAUUUUCAUGUACCCAUAAUUGAUUCUUUUGUGUUUAUGAAAUAUAUAUAUUCUUUCUUACAUUAUAUCGUCUCAAUUAUUACACCAUCAUAUACUUGUGUAACACUUGUACAUCAACAACAUAUUGAUCAUAAACCAGAAUAAGAAAGCAACAAAAAACUGAAAUAAGAUGCAUACAAGCAUCAUCACACAUUGUUAUUCUCAGGGGUACCACUAUCUUAAACCCCUACUUAAUGAUCGUGAUUAACAUCCUUAAACACAACACACACCAAAUUAAAAGUAGGAUUCAAACAUAAAUAGCAAACGGUUUCUGUUUUUUCAACACCUUGGGAUGGGGAGCUUGCAGCGGUUAGAGACUUUACGAGCGUUGGAAGAGCUGACGAAGCGACGGAGGCUAGGGUUUCUCAUGUACCCACACAGGCAUGGCUUCUGCUCCUUGAGCUUCGCGCAGCACAACGCUGAUGGUGGAGAAGACGACGUUAUCGCCGACGCACAUGGGCUUAGCUGCAUUGGCGAGCACGUCACCGCUUCUCCCGCCGGGACUAGGAUCACUAGGAGAACCGCCGUGAGGGCGAAAACUGAAACCCAUGUGGCCUUGAUGAUCAUCGCCAUUUUUCUUCUUCUUCUUCUUCUUCUUCUUCUUUUGUUUGUUUGAGAGUUUAUAGAAGUGUGUUUUGGUGUGUGGUUUUUGAUAUAUGUAUCUCUUUCUAUUUAUAGAGAGGGAAACUGAACAGUUUUUUCUAAUUUCAUUCUUCUUUUUCAAGAAAUAUGGAUUGAAAAAUAUUUUUCAAAAUCUUAAUCUAUUAGUGCACUUUAUUGCUUAUAGUGCGGCCUCUUAUCAUUUCAGUUUAGCAUUGGAAUAAUAUAAUUUACAAUCUAAUAGUUUCUACAGUGAAGUGGUUAAUAUAACAAACUUAAUAUUAUCAUGUAUCAUGUAUGAGCACGAAAACAUCAUGUAUUCCUACCAUAUAUAUCAUCAGAAAAUCGUAGGAAACAUACUUUUCCUACCAAUUUCCUACGAAAUAUUUGUAUAGGUUUUAGGCCGUCGGAAAUAAUAAAUGGUAAAAAAAUGGUAAGAAAUUUUCCUACGGAGAUUUUGAUAGGAAAUUUUCGUAGGAAAAUUUAGUCAGAAUAUCGUAGGAUGACUGCUACUAAUUUCCUUCCAUUUUCUUACGAAACACGUGACUUCUUACCGUUUUCCUACGAAUGUUUUCCUAUCAUAUUCCUACUAUUUACCUACGAACUAUAUAAAGAUAUUUUUAAUUAAAAUUUUCCAAAAUUAAAUAAUUUUAAUUAUUAAAUAAAUUUCAAAAAAAAUAAAUCCGAAAUUAAUAAAUUUUUAAUUAGUAAUCAAUUAGAAAUUAAUUUUAACUAAAUAUAGAGGUUUUUGUACCCCAAAUUUUGUUAAAGUAUUAAUUCAUAUAGCAUCCUAUUUAUAGAACAAGAGGAGUAUGAACUUUUCUCUACUUGAUUGAUGUGGGACUUUUGUUGCUUUUUUUUUUUUGCUGAUUUUGAUAGGAAAUCUGUAGGAUAUUAAACAAUAAAAUAUUUGUUUCGUAGGAAAGUGAUAGGUAGUUUCCUUCAUAUUCUGUUGGUAGAAAAGUGGUCAGAAAAUUUUGACGAAUUUUCUACCAUUAUAACAGUAAAAAAUUUCAACCGAUUUCCUACCAUUUUCUGAUCACAUUUCCUACGAAUAUUAUUUUGGUUGAAUAUUGGUAAGAAAUUUUUAACUAUUUUCUGACAAUUUUUAUCAUAGGAAAUUUCUUACCAAUUUUCUACCUUUUUCAUUUUUUGUCAUAAAUUCGUAGGAAAAUGGUAAAAAACAUUUCCUACCAAAAUUUUCAUAGGAAAAUUCGUAGGAAUUCAGCAUGUUUUCUUGUAGUGGAGGUUUUCUACAAAAUGCUUCUUAAAAAAAAUUAUGGAUAUUAAUUACAUAAGAUUCUAAUGUAUGGCAAAUAGAACCGUGCGAUGAGUUUAUAUGUAUAGCUAGUUAAGCCGGCAAUUAGAUUUGUUAAUAGUUUUCAUAAAAUUGUUGAUAUCAUGUCGCCCAAAUUUGCGCCGGUUUGCAUAAAAGAGCAUGGGAAUAAACAACAUUGUUGGUUUGUUGUGGACAUUAAGAACUCCCGUUACUCAUUUGACUAUCACGAUUAAUGGCGAAAAAUAUGGAGAAAGUAGCGUUACUAGUAUAUUUUUUCCUGUGAUUUUAGUCUUUAUACUAUACAUUGUACUGGUGCUUUGUCAACUAUCCCUCUCUUUAUAUUUUUGAAUGGGAAGUAGCACUACAAAUUUGAAAAAAAUCCAUUUUUAAUAACAAAAAAAUAUGCAAGUGUGUAGUUAUAAAUAAUUACACACUUGAUAUGCAUAUAAGUGUAUAUAUCUCUUGAGUACUCUAUCCAAAGAUAGAGUAAGUGCCCGGAAUGAGGCAGUUGCCUCUUUUUCUAUACCUUAAAGCACGGGACGGCACUGACUAUAUUUUUAUAUGUCGACCAACAAAACAAACUGUAUGAUAAGACAAAGAAAUCUAAAUUUUCUUUCUAUCAAAACACAGGAAAUACGAUAUAGCAUUAUAACUUAUGACAUGGGUUAACUUAAAAGAUAUAUAUACGGAGUAUUAAAAAAAAAACAAACGUGGGGUCGAAGUGUGAAGACUUAGGAAGCGAAAGAGGACUUUCGGUGAUGGUACGUACUUGUGUCGUCCCAAUAUUUGUUGCCGUCUCCUUUAACGUCAUUAUUACUCUUGUUUCUCUCACACACAUACACAUUGUGAUGAUACUAUAUGAUGGAAAAAUGCACACGUAAAAUAUAUAAACAUAAUUAGUUCAAUAUGUUAACAUUUAACAACAACAAAAUCAAUUAAUUUUAUAUUCCAAAUGAUGAUUUUGAGAAGAAGCGUGCGUUUGGGGAUACGUGUGAAUAAUCAUUGCCACAAUCACUCAUUGAACAUUCUUCUUUCUGCAGUUAUUUUUGUUUUUUUUUUUAGCACAAUUGUAGUAAAUUAAUGAACAUACUAUAUUCUGAUCAUCAGUGUAGCAUUUUAAUGAGAAGAUUAGUUGUUGUAUUUUCUUGGGUAACUAGAGUUUCCUAAGAUUGAAAAUUCAAAACAUUGACAAGGUCUACGCACCUAGAAGAUGAAUAAGCUUAACGUGUACGUACAUUAUUGGAAUUACUAACGUAGCAUGAAAAAAUAGCAAAAUCCUUAGAAAACAACAAUUUAGUCAUAAAUAUGAAAUGGAGUUAUUAAACGGUUGAUCGGGUUUGUUUGGAACCAUACUAAACAAAUUACGAUAAAAACGAAAAAUGAUGUAUAUAUGCAAGUAAAAGAAUAUAUAUCUUAAUCCAAAAACACUUGUGGCAAACAUACAAAUUUCACUAAAAAAUAUGUUCAGACAUUAGUUGUUGAAGUUGUAGGUCAUUCAAACAUGUGUCUACGACCUUGGAAUUUGAUGUCACUAUUUUUAUUUUUUUUUAUAUUUAUUUAAAAACUAGAAAAUGGAGGCAGAAUCUAUUUACUAUAUCAAAACUUAUAAGAGAAGAACAAGGCUAAAAAGAUAAGUAUAGUAUUGAAAAGAGUAAAUGAAAUAAUGAAAAGUGGGUCCAAAGCAUCGAUCGUGAUAGAAACUUUAAGGUUCUCACGCCUAGUGACUAGUGGUGUCACAAUUUGCGUUGUUAUUAUUGCUCCCCUUAUAACUAGGUGAAUCAAUUUAAUAGUCCAAUUAUCUUAAUGCAUGUUCGAGAUUAAAGAAGAAAAAUAUUUUACAGUAAUUUAUUUUUUUUUUUUACCAAAAAGAAUAAUUUAUUCUCUUUUAUGAUAUCUUGGUUAAUUUUAGAAAAAUAAUUUAUCAAACAAAAUUAGCUACCCAAUACAAUUUUAAACAAAUAUAUGUAGAUUUAUCUGUUGCUAAGGCAAUUAUGUAAUUGGACCUUUACCAGAAAUAUACAUCUAUUGAGAUUUUCACGCCUCACCAGUCACCACCACCACACCUACCAAAUUUUUUCUUUUUUCAAGGAAAGCAAUUCUAUUGAAUUCACUCUUUCAUUUCAAUUGCAAUGUACUGUUUUCGUAUUUUCUAAUAACACAAUAAUGAGUUUGGCAAGUGACUACAAUAAACUGUUGACCAAAAAAGAGAGACUUCAAUAUAAAAAAAAAUGGAAAUGGUCGACAAAAAAUAAACUCUGGAAAUGAAAUCACCGAAUAGUUAAAGUACCAUUCCAAUCUCAUGGUUAUCCCAGAACAUUACCCACUACUGAUUUUUCGGAUGACUGAAUUUGGCACCUUUUGUAUUUUUGUGUGUUUCAGACAAAAAUUAAUCAGAUCACUGUGUUGAAGUCCUACAUUUAUUUGCUAUGGAACAGAAGUUACAACGCUUGUAGGCUAUAUUUUAUAUAUUUUUUUUUGGGUUCCAACAAGGCUUGUAGGUUAGAUUCCCUAAAACAAACUGAAAAUUCAGGACCAAGGUCUAUGCCUCUUCAAACCAAAAAACCAACAUCAAACUUGAGAUUGGCUUACUAUGAACUAAUAAAGAAAGAAUCUAACUAGACUGAAGAAAACUCAGAAAGCAAGUCCAUUCCACUCAAGACAUCCUCCGUGACCGCCUUCAUCUGUAAACUCGUAGACAGCACCCGAUGCUGCCAACAAAACCACCAGCAUUAGACUUUGAAUCUCAAUUGAUGGUUAGCGUUUCACAAGACGAACUCGUUUGUGUUAAUUUUUGAACAAUGGCGUAAACAAAUCGCGGAGAAUAUGGGGCUACAAGCCAGGCAUACUUUUAACAGGGCAAGAUACAAGAUGGAGAAACCAGAGAGUAUUACCUUUGUAGCCACCUUGAACGGGAUCAUCAGCCAGAAGAAGUGGUGUGUCCAAGUCAAUGAAUCUGUAUGUCAUGUCUUAACGUGUUAGAAUUAUAUAAUAGUGAACUUAGCAAUGAAAUGCGAUGUUUACAUAUUAAGUACCUGAAACACCCAAUGCCGGCAGCAAGGUGACCGGAGAACCCCAUUGCUAAUCUAGUCUCCACCAUUCCCCCUAUCAUAAGCUCAAUUCCAGAUGAUCUAGCCAAUUCAAUUACCUCAAGGGCCUCGAGGAUACCGGUUUUGGCGAGUUUAAUGUUAACAACAUCUACGACAUCACCUUUUAUGAUUUUCUUGAGAUCAGUCAAGUCUCUACAACUCUCGUCUGCUGCAACAGAGACUCUGAAUCUGUUCUUUGCAAUUCGAGUCACGUCACGGAGACCUUCCCAAUUGUCUCUGUGGACGGGUUGUUCAAAGAGAACCGGUGUAACCUUCAUUUCUGGGACAAACAGUCACAACACUUCAGGUUUUUGACCGAGGAAAGAAAGCUCGGCUAAAAAUCUUAGCAGGUUGAGGAUUUUCCAAAAGCUCAUGCCUUGAAAACUUCUCGCGUUCAAGUAACAAGUGAGAAGUCUCAAAAAAUGAUUCAAAGAUCUUUUUUUUUACCAUGAAGCUUUUCGAGAACUUCAAUAGCUUCCUCUGUUUUGUAACCCUCGUUUGCAUCCAAAAUGAAGGAACAUGCAGGGUGGACUGCACGUAUAGCCUGGAGAACUUCUAUGUCGGCCUUAAGGUUCUUCCCUACCUUAAGCUUCAAGGUUUCAAACCCUUCUUUUCUGUACUUCAACGCCAAACUCGAAGCUUCGGCGGGAGAAACUAUCGGAAUCUGAACAUAGACCAUCACAAAAAAUCUUUUAGAUCCACAUCUAUGAAAAUUACACAAACCGUCAAUACUUAAAUACUCUAUGCAGAAUUUUCCGGCCAUUAACAGUCUAAAAACCAAUCAAAGUUCCAUCAUCAAACACUAGGAAUGCAGUUGAACACAUAUCACCUAAUCUAUGCUCAUAGUUCUUUUACAUUGCGAACUUGUACCCGGAAAAACCAAGUGGAAUAUGUACCCGGAAGAGCUAAGGUAAGAACCGAACUGUUAUGUCGGUGGUAAUCGUACUUGAAGCCCCACCAAAUAGUUUCCACAAUGGCAUUCCUACUCUCUUAGCUGCUGCAUCGAUCAUUGCCAUCUCCAUCCCUGCUCUUACCUUCAUCCAUUUCAACAUUUCCUUUAUUGUGAGACUAAGAUUUGUUUUCUUCCCAACGAGGUUUCCAAAUAAAACAGAGAAAAAAAACUAAAACCCAUCUCACAAGAUUUACACUUGUCUCUAGUGUAAACCACAGCCAAAGCAAACCCGAUAUGCCCAAAAUGGAAUUUCAAAUUGAAGCUCAAAAUCAAGUUUUUAGCAUGCCAUGCAAAGACCAGAAUAUAAGUAGAAACGUUAGACUUACAGAGGCAAAUCGAUGGCCAGGGAGAAAUCCACCAAUCUCCUGAAGAACAUUACCAAGUUUCAUCUCCGGUAACUCGUUUAGAAACUCACAGGCUUCCCGCGCUUUAACCAUGGCCAUAAGCUGAUCCUCCGCCGUCACUGACGGCAAGAUCGGAGCCUCUCCCCAGCCGACACAUCCGCCACUAAGCUCAACCCGAAUCGCGACAUUACCGACUGAAUCGAGCCGCGACGAAGCGAUAGUGAAGGGCGAGAGCAGAGGCACGUUCAGCUCACGGUUCUCUGCUCUCUGCACCCUCACCGUCAAAUUCUCCGUCAGAGUUUUGAAUCCAGACGCCGCCGACAUAACAUGGACCAGCGAUCUCGGCGAGUUCUGGAAAUUGAAGCUUGAAUUGACGAUUGGAGAAGAAGAUACGAUCGAAAACAUCUUUGCUUUAGAGCAAUUUAGAGUAUUUAACAUUCUCGCCCAUAUAAAGUUUGUCUUCAGUAGGGGUGAUUGAAUUAGUAACACCGAAUCGAAUUAAACGGAACCAAGCAAUACGGUUUGGUCUGGUUAUAUCAUAUUAACAAGUUUUUUAAUUUUUUAGCAGAGAAUUGGGAAGUUAGUUUGUAGGCUUUCUAAUGGGCUCAAAUUGACCUCAUGGGCUUAGCAUAUCUCUUACAAACUCAGUUGUUUUUACCGACAAUUUAAAAAAUCGAUUGGAAACUAACAAUGGAAUUUCUAAUUACGUUUUCCAGUCCAUUAAUCAUUUGACCAAAUUGUUAGAGAGCGAGUUAUAUAUAGAAGAAAUUAGCUCAUACAUCCAGUAAGAAACAUUUGAUAUUUAUACAAUUUGGUAGAUUGUUUUGGUUUUGGUUCUGAUUCCAGUUUUUUCGUCUGAAUUGGUUUUAGGGUCUGAACUAACGUAAGAAACCAAAUCCGAAUCAAAGUCAAACUGAGGAUACGUACGAUUUAGAGUUUAACAUUGUUUCUCAUUUACAGUAAGUUGAUUAAGAAACGCUUAAAAAGAAGAGACAUCUACUUGCCACAAAAAAAACUAAACGAAAUCCUCUCCGCCCAAAAAACGACACAACAACCAUAGAUGACGAAAACGCCAUGAUGUGUUCGAUUCAGAACAAUAUCAGAUAUGAAAGAUACCCCAAAAAAUAUAAGGGAAGCAAGUUUAUUUCUCAGAUGAGAAAUGUGGAAGUUCAUGUUGAGGCAACAAAGAUUAGAAUUUGACCUGGACUUUGCAUUUGGAAGAAGCUCUGGGAAGCAUUAGGAGAUCUGACAUGAUCUGGAGCUUUCUAUCUGUUCUUGCUUGAACAUGAAGUUCCAACAGCUCAAGAUACGGCAAAUUCUCCAAGAUAAGCUUUAUGUGCAACAUACAAUCGGUAUCUCCUUCGAACUCUGUUAUCUUUAGGGUCUCAAUAGGGCAUAACUUGAGAAAAGAAUACCCUGACAAGCAAUCGCAAACAGGUUCUUGAGGAACAAAGUGCAAGCAACCCUGAAAACAAAAAUUAGACGAGAAUUUUGAGUUUGAAGAUUAUAUGAGUUUUCAAAACUCGUUUUUGUUUGUCCAAUGAACUUUUGAGGGUCAUACCUCAAUGGUGAGUGUCUUAAGAUUUGGAGAUUUCUCAAGCACAUUCGUCAGAGGAAACCAGCAGUAAUCGGGCUCAGUACUAACUUCAAAAUGAAGCAGGUUUUCAAACAAUGGGAUUGCUUCGCUGGAGCAGGAGGAAUCAAACAUCUGGAACAGAAUAAACAACAACUAGUCAGUCAUAGCUUCAACAAAACAUUCUGAUGUGUAGCAAGAUUUUGAUUUUAAUAUAUCUCAAUGGAAGAGCAAGAAGAAAUCAGCAGAGUUGGCUUACCAGCAUCGUGUCGACAUUGACACACCUCAGAAUCUGGACAUUUUGUAACCCCUGAAUCAGAUUUUUAAGAUCAUAACCCCCACCAUCGAAAAAAAGAAAAACGUCGAACGUAGCUUCAACAAGGGAGUUGAAAUUAACAACUGGAUACCCAUCUCGAAGAACAUCGUAGUUUUCCAAGUAUUCAAGACUCGGAGUAUCAAAACUAAUAGCCUCAGAAUUAACUUCGUUAUGAUCACCAGCCAAUACCUCACGCGAUAUAGUAAGUCUCUUAAGGGUCUGGCUAGACACAGUGCGAGACCAAUUCCAAUGAUCACUGACACGGCCAUUGAUGACUAACUCCUCAAGCACAGAGCAAGCAGAAAGAAGCCUUUGGAACACACAACCACCAUCAAGACUAUCGAACCGGACUGAAUCAAGAAUGAGAGUCUUAAGAGCUGGAAGCGAAGCAUUCAGAGGGAUGGUGUCAAUAACAAAACCAGACCCUAGUUCCAGUGUCACAACGCUCUUGCAAGUGAAGACCUCAAAAGGCAGUGGAUAGUCUUCUUUAGCAUUAAUGUCCAACUCUAGAUCCAAGACACCGCGCUUCAAAACAUUGCGUAGACAAUCAUUGACAGGAUUAUAAUAAGGACGAUUACCCUCAUCUGGCAAUUUCAGAGAGAAUCUUCUUAGACGGUGAUUGGCGUGUAGAGACAAUAAUUCCUUAACGAAAUCAUUUAAACUUCCGCUAAUCUUGGACUUGAGUACAAAAAAUUCCCGAUUCGGUAUGAUGCUAAUCAGAUUCCGCCAUUUCUUUGCGGCUAUCUGUGCGUGCGCAGCUUGCUUUGCCGUAAGGAAGGACGAGAUGUGGCGAAUAACGUCGUCUGGUAGAUCGAUGAUUCUAGUUUUCUUCAUACCUUUCGAAAACCCUAAAACAACUCUUCUCAGUACCCAGAAAAUCUCUAUUUCUAAUGGAACCUUCAACGACUUGACUCCAACAUCCAACCCACCACAAUUCGCGAAGUAGAUAACCAAUGAUCAAUUUAUAGAUGCAGAAGAACUUACUUCACAAUUCCGACUACAUGAAGGUGAUCAAGCACCAAUCAUCGCAAACGUGUGUAGACGACGACAAAAUACCGAUCGAUUCUUCACUCGCACCUUGAAAACUGAAACGAACUGUGCAGAAACAAAGAAAAAAUGAAGCGAAGAAGACGACAAUGACCGAUCGAUUUUUCACCCGAAGAGAAAUUCCAUCUUCCAAAGCGAAAAAUCGAGGAUGAAUCAGAGAAGAAUCGUAGCACUGUUCUUGAGAGAACAUAGAAAGAGAAAGAGAAAAUAAAACGACUAGGAGAAAAUUUUAACCAACAUAAAUGCUUUCUCGUUUUCGUGUAUAAAAUUUCUAAUCCAAUGAUUUUGCGCCAGCUGUAGUCAUCCACUCUCGACUAUAACUGAAUCCAGUUUCUCGUUUGUUAAAGCAUCAUCACGCGCUUUGACCCACCUUGCAGUCACGCGCUUGAGUCGUAAGCUUGGGCUUGGCCAGGCCCAUUUUCUCUUUUUCUUCAUCCUGAUUUUAGAAAAUUAUUACAUCAUUUUGCCUUAUUUCUUGUCGUGUUAAGGCAUCAUAAAUUAUUUUCCAUUUAGGAUAUCUUAGCUAAAUAGAAAAGUAAUUUAACAAACAAAAUUAGCUAACCAUUACAAUUUUAGAUAGACAUUUGUAGACCGUUUGACAAAAAAAAAAAGAAUAAGUUGACAGCAAAAAAAAUUCUAGACCAACGCAAUUAUGUAGUUAGACUUUUACCAGAAAUUUACAUAUAUUUGAGAUUUUCACGCCUCACCAGUCACCACCACCACACCUACCAAAUAUAUAUAUAUAUUUUUUUUCAAGAAAAGCAAUUCAUUUUGAAUCUACUAUUUUUCGAUUAUUUUUUACACAAUAAUGACUUUGGCAAGUGACAACAGCAAAUUAUUGACCAAACAAGAAAGAAAUAUACUCCGAGAAGGAAAUCACCCAAUAGUUAGACAACCAUUUCAAAGUCACGGUAAUUCCCACAACAAUACCCACCACUGAAUUUUCUGAUGAGUAAUUUUGUCAUCAAAUCGAAAUGGUAAUUAAGAGAGAGAGAGAUCCAAACAAGAAACACUUAUUAUUGUGACCUAUAAGCUAGUAUUAUUUUUCACUACGAAUUUGACAUCUUUUGUUUGUUUGUGUGUGUGUGUGUUUCAGACACAAAUCAAUCAGAUCAUUGUGAUGAACUCCUAUAUCUAUUUGGUACUCCAUCGAAUAAAAGUUACAAAGCUUAUAGGCUAGCUACAUUCACUAACGUAAACUGAAAAUUCAGGACCCUUCGAGCUUGUAGGUCUAAUGCAUCUUGAAACCCAAAAAACAACAUCAACCUUAAUUGGCUUACUAUGAACUAAUAUAGAAAGGACCUAACUAGACUGAAGGAAACUCACAAAGCAAGUUCAUCCCACCCAAGACAUCCUCCGUGACCGCCUUCAUCUGUAAACUCGUAGACAGCACCUGAUACUGCCAACAAAACCACCACCAUUAGACUACAAAUCUCAAUUGCUGGUUAGCAUUUCACAAGAAGAAUUCAUUUGUGUUAAUGAUUGAACAACGACGCAGACAAAUCGCGAAGAAGAUGGUGCUAACAAGACAUGCAUACUUUUAACAGGGCAAGAUACAUCAGAAGAGUAUUACCUUUGUAGCCACCCUGAACGGGAUCAUCAGCGAGAAGAAGUGGUGUGUCCAAGUCGAUGAAUCUGUAUAUCAGGUCUUAACGUGUUAGAAUUAUAAUAGUCAAAUUAGCAAUAAAAUACGAUGUUUACAUAUUAAAUACCUGAAACACCCAAUGCCGGCGACAAGGUGACCGGAGAACCCCAUUGCUAGUCUAGUCUCCACCAUUCCCCCUAUCAUAAGCUCAAGUCCAGAUGAUCUAGCCAAUUCAAUUACCUCAAGGGCCUCGAGGACACCAGUUUUGGCGAGUUUGAUGUUGACAACAUCUACGAUGUCACCUUUUAUGAUUUUCUUGAGAUCAGUCAAGUCUCUACAACUCUCGUCUGCUGCAACAGAGACUCCGAAUCUGUUCUUUGCAAUUCGAGUCACGUCACUGAGACCUUCCCAAUUGUCUCUGUGGACGGGUUGCUCAAAGAGAACCGGAGUAACCUUCAUUUCUGGGACAAACAGUCACAACACUUCAGGUUUUGACCGAGUCAAUAAAGCUCGGCUAAAAAUCUUAGCAGGUUGAGGAUUUUCCAAAAGCUAAUGCCUUGAAAACUUCUCGCGUUCAAGAACUAAGCGAGAAGUCACAAAAAGUGAUUCAAAGAUCUUUUUUUCUUUUACCAUGAAGCUUUUCGAGAACUUCAAUAGCUUCAUCUGUUUUGUAACCCUCAUUUGCAUCCAAAAUUAAGGAACAUGCAGGGUGGACUGCACGUAUAGCCUGGAGAACUUCUAUGUCGGCCUUAAGGUUCUUCCCUACCUUAAGCUUCAAGGUUUCAAACCCUUCUUUUCUGUACUUCAACGCCAAACUCGAAGCUUCGGCGGGAGAAACUAUCGGAAUCUGAACAUAGACCACCACAAAAAAACUUUUAGAUCCACAUCUAUGAAAAUUACACAAACCUUCAAUACUUGAGUAAUCUAUGCAGAAUUUUCCGGCCAUUAAGAGUCUACAAACUAAUCAAAGUUCCAUCAUCAAACACUAGGAAUGCAGUUGAACACAUAUCAUUUAAUCAAUGCUCAUAGUUCUUUUACAUUGCGAACUUGUACCCGGAAGAGCUAAGGUAAGAACCGAACUGUUAUGUCGGUGGUAAUCGUACUUGAAGCCCCACCAAAUAGUUUCCACAAUGGCAUUCCUACUCUCUUAGCUGCUGCAUCGAUCAUUGCCAUCUCCAUCCCUGCUCUUACCUUCAUCCAUUUCAACAUUUCCUUUAUAGUGAGACUAAGAUUUGUUUUCUUCCCAACGAGGUUUCCAAACUAAAACCCAUUUCACAAGAUUUACACUUGUCUCUAGUGUAAACCACAGCCAACGCAAACCCGAUAUGCCCAAAAUGGAAUUUCAAAUUCAAGCUCAAAAUCAAGUUUUUAGCAUGCCCAAUAAUGAUUCAAUCGAAUUGGAUUUUGAUGGGAAAAGCAAAGUUCUAGCCAUGCAAAGACCAGCUACAAGUAGAAACGUUAGACUUACAGAGGCAAAUUGAUGGCCAGGGAGAAAUCCACCAAUCUCCUGAAGAACAUUACCAAGUUUCAUCUCCGGUAACUCCCUCAGAAACUCACAGGCUUCCCGCGCUUUAACCAUGGCCAUAAGCUGAUCCUCCGCCGUCACUGACGGCAAGAUCGGAGCCUCUCCCCAGCCGACACAUCCGCCACUUAGCUCAACCCGAAUCGCGACAUUACCGACUGAAUCGAGCCGCGACAAAGCGAUAGUGAAGGGCGAGAGCAGAGGGACGUUCAGCUCACGGUUCUCUGCUCUCUGCACCCUCACCGUCAAAUUUUCCGUCAGGGUUUUGAAUCCAGACGCUGACGACAUAACAUGGACCGGCGAUUUCGGCGAGUUCUGGAAAUUGAAGCUUGAAUUGACGAUUAGAGAAGAAGAUGCAAUCGAAAACAUAUUUGCUUUAGAGCAAUUUAGUAUUUAACAGUCUCGCCAUAUAACGUUUGUCUUGAAUUCUUGAUUAAAUUAGUAAGUAGUAACACUAACACCGAAUCGAGUUAAACGGAACCAAACCGAAAAGGAGCAAUAAGGUUUGGUUUGGUUAUAUCAUAUUAAAAAGUUUUUUUAAUAAUUAGCAGAGAAUUGGAAAGUUAUCAGGUAGGCUUUCUAAUGGCCUCAAUUGACCUGAUGGGCUUAGCAUAUCUCUUACAAACUCAGUUGUUUUACCGACAAUUUAAAACUCGAAUGGAAACUUACAAUGGAAUUUCUAAUUAUCAUUUGACCAAAUUAUUAGAGACCGAGUUAUAUAUAGAAAAAAUUAGCUCAUACAUCCAGUAAGAAUCAGAUGAUGUUAAUACAAUUUUGUAGAUUGUUUUGGUUUUGGUUAUGAUUCCAGUUUUUCCGUCUGAAUUAGGUUUUUGGUCAGAAAAUGUUUUUUUAAACGUAAUAAACUAAAGAAGACAUCAACGCAAAUUGUUUCUCUAAGUUGAUUAAGAGGCGCUUAAAAAGAAGACAUCAAAACAAAUUACUUGUCACAAAAAACUCAACUAAAUCCUCUCCUGCCAAAAAACGACACACUAACCAUAUAUGGAUGUGUUCGAUUCAGAACAAUAUCAUCAGAUACGAAAGAUACCCCAAAAGGAAAAGGGGAUGCAAGUUUGUUUCUCAGAUCAGAAAUGGAAGUUCAUGUGGACGCAACAAGAUUAGAAUUUGAAGUGGAAUUUUCAUUUUGAAGAAGCUCUGGGAAGCAUUAGGAGAUCCGAAAUGAUCUGGAGCUUUCUAUCUGUUCUUGCUUGAACAUGAAGUUCCAACAGCUCAAGACACGGCAAAUUCUCCAAGACAAGCUUUAUGUGCACCAUACCAUCAACAUCUCCUUCGAACUCUGUUAUCUUUAAGGUCUCAAUAGGGCAUAACAUGAGAAAAGAAUACCCUGACAAGCAAGGGCAAACAGAUCCUAAUCCCGGAUCUUCUUGAUGAGUAAAGUGCAAACAGCCCUGAAAACAAAAAUCAGACGGGAAUUUUGAGUUUGAAGAUUAUAUGAGUUUUGAAAACUCUUUUUGUUUGUCCAAUGAACUUUUUUUGAGGUUUUCGGGUCAUACCUCAAUGGUGAGUGUCCUAAGUUUUGGAGAUUUCUCAAGCACAUUCCUCAGAGGAACCCAGCAGAUAUAGUCGUCAGUUCUAACUACUAAAUGAAACAGGUGUUCAAACCAUGGGAUUGCUUCGCUGAAGGAAUGAAACAGCUGGAACAGAAAAAACAGCAACUAGUCAGUCAUAGCAAGAUUUUGAUUUUAGUAUUAUCUCAAUGGAAGAGCAAGAAGAAUUUAUCAGCAGAGUUGGCUUACCAUCAUCGUGUGGACAUGGACACACCUCAGAAUCUGGACAUUUCUUAACCCCUGAAUCAGAUUUGUAAGAUCAUAACCAUCCCCUUGGAAAAUAAGAGGAAGCUUGAGCCUAGCUUCAACAAGGGAGUUGAAAUUAACAACUGGAUACCCAUCUCGAAGAACAUCGUGGUAUUCCAAGUAUUCAAGACUCGGAGUAUCAAAACUAAUAGGCUCAGAAUUAGUUUUGUCGUCAUCAUCGUACCAUCCUAUACGCCGAAUAGUAAGUCUCUUAAGGUUCUGGCUAGACACAGUGCGAGACCAAUUCCAUUGAUCACUGCUACGCCCAUCGAUGAUUAACUCCUCAAGCACAAGGCAAGCAGAAAGAAUCCUCUGGAACACACAACGACCAUCAAGACUAUCAAACCGGACUGAAUCAAGAAUGAGAGUCUUAAGAGCUGGAAGCGAAAUAUCCUGAGGGAUGGCGUCAAUAACAAAACCAGACCCUAGUUUCAGUGUCACAACGCUCUUGCAAGUGAAGACCUCCAAAGGCAGUGGAUAGUUUUCUUUAGCAUUAAUGUCCAACUCAAGAUCAAAGACACCGCGCUUCACAACAUUGCGUAGACAAUAAUUGACAGGAUUAUAAUAAGGACGAUUACCCUCAUCUGGCAAUUUCAGAGAGAAUCUUCUUAGACGGUGAUUGGCGUGUAGAGACAAUAAUUCCUUAACGAAAUCAUUCAAACUUCCGCUAAUCUUGGACUUGGGUACAAAAAAUUCCCGAUUCGGUAUGAUGCUAAUCAGAUUCCGCCAUUUCUUUGCGGCUAUCUGUGCGUGCGCAGCUUGCUUUGCCGUAAGGAAGGAUAAGAUAUAGCUAAUAAUGUCGUCUGGUAGAUCGGUGAUUCUAGUUUUCUGCAUACUUUUCGCAAACCCUAAAACAACUAUUCUCACUACCCAGAAAAUCUCGAUUUCUAUUGGAACCUUCAACGACUUGACUCCAACAUCAACUCACCACAAUUCGCGAAGUAGAUAACCAAUGAUCAUUUUAUUGAAGCAGACGAACUUACUUCACAAUCGUGAGACGUGAAGGCGAUCAAGCACCAAUCAUCGCAAAUCUGUGUAGACGACGACAAAAUACCGAUCGAGUCUUCACUCGCACUGUGAAAACUGAAGCGAAAUGUACAUAAACAAAGAAAAACUGAAGCGAAGAAGACGACAAUGCCCGAUCGAUUCUUCACCCGAAAGCGAAAUUACAUCUUCCAAAGAGAAAUCUAGGAUGAAUCAGAGAAGAAUCGUUGCACUGUUCUUGAGAGAGCAGAGAGAGAAAGAGAGAAUAAAACGAGUUGGAGAAAAUUUUAAUUUUCUUUUUCUUUCCAAUUAGUUUCUCUGGUCUAACUAACAGAAAUGCUUUCUCGUUGACGGAAAAAAAAAAAGAAAUGCUUUCUCGUUUUCGUGUAUAAAAUUAUAAUCCAAUGAUUUUGCGCCAGCUGUAGUCAUCCACUCUCGCCGAUAAGAGCAUCCUCAAUGCAGAGACCUAUAUGAGUCUCCUAUCUAUUUUUUUAAUAGUUUUUUAGCAAAAAGUGAAAUUAAAAACUAGUUUUAGAAACUUCUUGUUUUGGACUGUGGAGAGACUUAUAUAAGUUUUUUUUUAAAAAAAAAUUUUGGAAACAAACUUAAUGAAAAAUAUCCAAGCAAAAUAUACUUAACUCGUGCUUGUACCAAGAAUCGCAAGUUCACACAUCAACAACGAUGAUUAUUAAACUCACAAAAAACAAAAAAGAAAAACAAUCUCUAAGUGAAGAUAGCCAUCAACUCAGCAACAAGCUUCUUGUUGAUUCAAAUUUUUCUUUGCCAUAGACAGGUUGGUAAUCGGAGAUGAGCAAAGGCAACAGCAGCUUCUGAGGCAUGCCUAAUCCUCUCAAAACCAAUAUAUUUCGAAAUUUGUUCUACUGCUUAUUGUUGUUACCCUCUGGCCAAUAAAGACAUGACUUUUCGAUUUCAAACUCUGAGCUUCUAUCAGCUUCAAUAUUAUCUUUGAAGAAAUCAUAGUAUAAGCUGAGAGUUUUAUCCCCUUUCUUUCCUAAGAUUUUCGGAACUUUGGAAAUGAUCUCAGCGAGAGCAGAGCUUGAAGCUCCUCUGGAAUGAAGAAACCGAAGCUUGGGACCAAGAGAAUCUGUGAAGCCAUGAGCUCAUUAACCUUGGUGAACACAGGCUUCCUCAAAGCAGGCGUUGCCUCAGCCAUUAUUAGAACAACAACCCUAGAGAUUAGCCAUUAAGAAAAAGACACACUUGGUCAGAGCAGCAAUAAGAACAAUUCACUUCACAAGCAACAACAACAAUUUCAAAUCUGAUGAUUAAACCAUUCAAAUUCAAUCUCCGAUAUUAGCCAAAAGCAUGAGAUCAAACCAAUUUCAUUCCUCAAACCUGCCACAGCUAUUAAAACGAGUGAUAGAAUUUGCAAAACAGCAACAUUGACACAAAAGAUGAUAAACGAUCGAUGACCAAAGCUAAUCACACACACAAAAAAAUAAUAUUUUGAUCAGACAAAUCAUGGGAUCUCUGAUCGAGCAGAUAAAAUUGAAGACAAAGGAAGAUCCAAUUGAGAAAAACCAGAGAAUCGACCAAAGAACAAACCAGAGAAUCGACCAGAAAAACAAAGAAUCGAGCAGAGAGGGGUUUUAGGGUUCGUUGAACUUAUCUGAAGGCUUUCUUGUCGCCGAUUUCGGAGAGGACGAGAUCAAGAUGUCGCGAUUCGUCGGAAACUCGAUCGAUCUCUCGUAAUCGUCGGAGAGGAAAGGAAAAUGGAAGAAAG